rnacentral:lncRNA from 1 species
UUUAAUCCCCAAGUAAUGAUGUUUCAAUGUGUUUUAUCACAAUCAUUUCGAUCAAUUAUUCCUUUUCUGAACCAUUAAUAACGGAUGGCAGAAGACAAUGAUGUACGCAUUAUUUUAGAAAAUGGUGAAAAUUUAGUUAUCAUACUUAUAAAUAACUCAAACUGCAUAAUCAACCGAUGAACCAACCGUCAAUAAUUUUUUGCUAAGUAGUGUUAGUUUAUUAAAUAUAUAUGUAUAGUUGUAAGUCCACCCCUGACGGGAUAUGAUUUUGUGUGAGAGAGAUAAAGACUAGCCUCUUCUUCUUGUAAUUUUAUUUAGUCAUCGAGUACUAUUUAUCAAUAUAUCUAUUUUAUAUUUUACUAUUUUGUUCUUUUAUUUUUUUAUGAUGUUACGUUGAUUAUACUCUUUUUGAACUAAGAAUUUAUCAAGAUGGUUUUUCUAUCUCAGAUAAUGAUAAAAUUUACUAACAUAUUAUCUUUCUUAAUUCUUGUUUAUGAUAUUAUGCUCGAAUAUAUUAUUAUUGAUAUCACUAUUGUGCUUAGGAUAAAUGAAACUGGCUCCCCUCCAUUUCGUCAAGUGCACGUCUAGAUUAGAGACAUGUGUCAUAUUUAAAGUUUAAAGGUCAAGAUUAUAUUAUAUUAACAAAUAUCAUAACCAUAGUUAAAUUAACUAAUUUUAGAAAAUUAAUCUCCAAAUUUGGUAAGAAUUACAAUAUAUUCUAAACAAAAUUUGAUACUUAUUAAUAUCAUUAAUUUCAUAUUAUAUUUUUUUAUUUAAUUAUUAAAUUCUAUGAUAUUUAAGGUGAGAAUCAACUAAACAAUUUAUGUACUACUAAACUUUGCUAUUGAAAUAUUAUAUAUACUAUGUUGAGAAACAAAACAAAAAAGUUAAGAAUUAUCACGGUGGAAAAAAACCAUAAAAUAAAAAUAAAAAGAUGAAAGAUUUUUAGAAUUAAACGUGAAUACCAAAAAUAUUUCAAGGAGAAAAUGUGGCUAUUGUGUUUGAAAGGGAAAAAUAUACUAUUUUUUUAAAAAUAAAUACUUUUAUCUCUUUUUUCUUCUUUUUUUUGCGAAAGAGAAGAUAACAUUGUUUUAAAUGUAAAUGUUUUUGAAGAUUAUUAUUUAUCACAUUAAAUAUAAACGUUUCAUGUUCUACAAUUUUAAUAUUUAAAUGUAGAUUAAAAAUAUAAGAUGAAAUUAAUGAUAUUAAUAACUUUCAAAUUUUGUAUGGAAUAUAUUGUAUUUUAUCAAAUUUAGAGAGCAAUUUUCUAAAAUUAGUUAACUUAACUAUGAUUAUGAUAUUUGUUAAUACAAUAUAAUCUUGACUUUUAAACUUUAAAUAUGACACAUGUCUACUAAUCUAGACGUGCACUUGACGAAAUGGAGGAAAGGGGUAAUGGAGGGGAGCCGGAUCCAGGAUAAAUUACCCUAGACAUCUUUGUAAUGUGAUUUAAUUGCAAAUAUUACUAAUUCCAUAGCUAUUUGUAUUCAAAGCACAAAAAAAUAUCACCUAGUAAAAAUUACACCCUCCGUUCAAUAAUAGUUGUCCAUUAUACUAUUUACGAUGUUCAAUAAUAUUUGUCCACUUUAUGAAGUCAAUGAAUAAUUUUACACUUAGUACCUUAUUUACCACUAUCAGUAAUUAUAGUCAUUUUCAUAUUACAUUUUUUCAAGACAUUGUAUUUAUUAUAUUUAUAGUAAAAUUACUCUUUUAUUUAUAGUUUCUUAAAAAAUGUGCAAAGUUAGACAAAUAUUAUUGGACACAAAAUGUAAUUUCAUAAAUAAAAUUAGAAGGUCGAUUGAGAUUUGAGAACCUAUUCAAUGAACUUUAUGACUUGUUGAUCUAAUCUUUAACCUUUAACUUGUAAAGCAAAAUGUGAAAUAAUCAUGAAAUUUCACCCAACUAGAAACAAAAAAAGACAAUUAAUUGUAUUUUAAAUUAAUUACCACUCUUUUUGAGGUAUGCAUCAAUCUCACCGCUGACUAGAUGUUAAAAUGUCUCACAUUUAUAGAGGGAUGAAGAAUUGGUAUCUAUAUAUAAUAUAUUGCUGAAGCAUGCGACAGCUCGAAGGUACAAUAUGAAUGAAAUAUCAUAUAAAUCGUGUUACCUUAUCUCUAUUUCAAAAAAAUUGUUUCUGUGAUCACACAGCCAAGUGCUAGAAUGCCUGCCACCACUGGCUCACUUGGGUUUAUUUUGUUUUCUAUUAAUUAUAUUAUAAUAAAGUUUGCCUUUUUUUAUACCAUAACGUUAUGGUUUAGUGGUCAAUAAAGUGAGUUGAGAACUCGAGGUCUCACGUUCAAUUUCUAGCACAAAAAAAAACACUAGGUGAUUUAUUUUCAUUUGUCUUAGCCUUAUUGGACAAAGUUAGUUGGUAGCUAUUGCUGGUGGGAGGCAAUGGGUAUCCCUUGGUAGUGUCUUAACCUUAGUGGGCAAAGUUAGCUGGUACAUGUUGCUGGUGGGAGGCAAUGGGUACCCCUCGGUGGACAAAGAUAGCUGGUAUAUGUUGCUGGUGGGAGGUAAUAGGUAUUCAGUGGAUUUAGUCGAGGUCUUAGCCUUAGUGGACAAAGUUAGCUGGUACAUGUUGCUGGUGGGAGGUAAUAGGUAUCCAUUGGUGGACAAAGUUAGCUUAUACAUGUUGUUGGUGGGAGGUAAUAGGUAUUCAAUGGAUUUAGUCGAGGUGCGUGAAAGCUGACGGAGUGAGUACUUUCUAGCUUCUGGUUAACUUUCUUUCCUAUUGAACAGCACAUGAAAGAUGUUGAAAAUGGUAAAACUAUAUGUCUAGAUUUAUGUCUUUUAGCUGUCCUAGUUGCAUGCAUGAAUGACCUUUUGUAUUAUCUAGUAUCUUUUAUGGUAUUAUUAAUGUGGCUAGAUUAAAGUGUAUGUGUGAAAGUACUUAAUGGUGUUAUUCUAGAAGACUAUUAACACCUAUAUAAGCCCUUCUGGCAAACUAUGGUUAAACGUUUAUAUGCUUUGGUUCAUACUGUUGUGUGUUUGGUAGGGCUGACUAAGGAAGAUGUCUAGUUUUGAGACUGUCUUUGAUUUUAUCACGAGUAUCCAAAAUCACGAAGAGAUCUACCAGCAGAUGGUAGCCACAGAUGGGAGCUCUGAUAUUGACUUGAAUUCUUGGGAACUGUCUACAAUUGGCAUUGGUGAGAAAAACUUGCUGAGAGAUGUUGAUAUGGUAGAGAAAUUUCGUUGUCCAGGCAUGGAUGUCGGGUUCAAGUUGAACUCGGCUUCUCUUGCGAAGCAAAGGGUGGUGAAAGGACGCGUGAAAGGGAAUCUCUCAUCAAUGAAAGCCUAUGAUGAGACAUUCUUGAUGGAGGAUACAAUUAAGUUAGCCCCAAUGGCAAGGAGAGUUCUCUGCCCUGGCAGGAGUGGGUUGGAAAUGCUUAACAAUGCCCCGUUAUAUAACAAAGUGGUGAUGGCUGUGGCAGGUAUUGAGCCUGCCAGCUUAACGGACGUAACUAUGAUGUUUGCUUGUGAGAAGCUUGCACUAAAACCUGACAUGUGUCACGUGUUCUUGAAGGGAUAUUUGAUGUUAAUGGCAUUUAACUUAGCUGUCAUAUCAGAUGUGUAUAACUACAAGAAAAAUGAUAUUAAAGCAGAGUUGGUUGCUGGUGUGUCGCCAGAUUCUAAAUUGAAUCUGCUGAUGAUGGAAGAUAUUGUAGUUGACGUGGCCCAUUUUUCACCGAAUGAGGUGUCUCUAUUGGUCGAGAUGUCUUGUGAGUAUCCAACAAGGCGAUAUGGUGCUGCAAACAUUUAUAAUAAUAUAUACAUGUCCAAAGAUAAUGUUACGUUUAUAUCGGAUGAUCCAAGUUACAAAUUCCCAGAGGAUAUGGAUUAUGGUAGUCCUGAUAUGAUGUGGAUGAACCUGCUGAAUAUAGCAAUCAAGUUCCAUACUCUUGAUGAUUUACGCGAGGUGAUAAGAGACUUCCGUGGAAUACCCGGGAUGUUGCGUGAUGUCUCUCGAUGGGGGAAGCAGAGUUGUUUCACCUUGAGUUAUCCUCGAAGCUGUAGUAUUAGCACUGCUGUUGAGAGUUUGGCGGAACAGUUCCCUGGCGUGCUGAGAAACAGCAGGUACUAUAGUACUAGUAAGUGUGUGGUUGUGGAUUUGUUGUUGAGUAACAUGUUACGAAUGAGUUGCUACAACAUAAUAGAACAAUUAGGUGCCAUUGGUAAGGUAGGUUGCCCUUCUGAUGAUACUUUGAACGAUCGGUUCUUUAACUUGAAUCUACUGAACCAGGGGUUGAAGUCAGAUGUUGAGGAGAGCAACUCCUUGCUGCAGGAGUGGUAUGGAAUAAAGAACUGUAUCAUGCCAGUGUCUUUCGGAGGGAAGCUGAAGGACAUGGUUGUUAAAAUGGCAAGUUGUAUGAGAAGUGGUGAUACUUCUUUUCUCAGACCACAACUAUUGCAUCCUUUGCCUUACUCGGCUUCAAGGAACACUACAUGGGCUGUGGUGCAUGGAUUGAGGAAAAUCGAGCUUGAAUCUACUCAACUAAUCAAUGCCACAUUGAAGCUUAAUCAAAUGACCAAAGCAUACGCAUGGGUGAUGGGUGUUCGUGACACAUUACCUAAGGUUGGGUUGAAUGCACUGUGUGAGGUGUACAUUGAGAACCUCACUUCAAAGGAGAGUGAGUUCAUACAGUUGGUGUUGGGUGAUUAUGAUAUCAACAUUAAGCACAUGUUGGACAAAGAAUUGGACCCGAGAACUGAUGAGCUCAAACUGGGGUGCAGGCCCUUUUAUAAUUUGUCCUUUCCGGGGACAAGGUGCACUGUCGUGUUCGACUCAGAUGGUGUUGGGAUGAUAAUUUUUUACGGUGCUUCCAGUUCUGUGAAUGCCAGUGAGUCGUUGGGAGUUACUACUCAGGCUGCAACAUUUGGUGGAGCUGCUGUCAGGACAGCUGCAGCGGCUGCACUUUCUGAGGCCGAUGUUGACAGAUUGGUGGAUGUAUCACCUCAAGAGACUGCACAUGGUGUGGCACCAGAUCAGGCAGGUCGAGUAUUUGGUGUGGAACGAGCUGGAACUGAUGCUGCUGACACUCAAAGAGCUGGUGGGCAUACAGCUGGUGGACAGGCGGGCUCAGGACGUGGCGCUUCUGUCCAUGGUGGUCGUGGUCGCACAGCGAGAUGGAACUGGACAAGCAGGUAAAGACAUUCCAGAUGGAAAUCACUUCUCGACCUUCAUAAAUGUUAAGUGUCUUGAUUCACAUGUCUUUUAAUUAUUCUAGCUAGGUGCAUGAUCUUUUGUAUUAUCCAAGUCACUCUUAUGGUAUUAAUGUGGUUAAAUUUAAGUGUGUGUGUGAAAGGUACCUAAUUGACAAGAGGGAGUUACUCCAUUGGUAAGCACCUCUCCCUUCCAACUCGAAGAGUGUGAGAUUGUUUUUUUUAUUAGCGUCCUUUUUUGUGUAUGCAUGUACUAAGAGUCAAGAGACAUUAGCUUAACCCUCUAUGAGGAGUCGACAUGUAUAUAUAGCACAAUCUAUAAAUACGUCUAACCUAUAAGACAAUCAUAAAAAUUUCUAAAAGUGUCAAAAUAAAAAUAAUAACAGGAGACACGCUCGAAAGUACAAUAUGAAUGAAAUAUCGAUCAUAUGAACAGUGCAUUUUGGAAUAUAAUUCAGUCAGUGAUAAUAUUAUAGGCGGCUGAUACAUAAUGCUAUCUUAGAUCUACUUUGAUCAAGAAACUGUACAAUAUUAGAAAAUGAAGGACCUUUUUUAGUGUCGGUAUCAAAAUCUAAUUGGUAAGAUUAUACUUCAUUGAUCAAUUAUGAUUCUUUAUUUCAACAUUCAACAGCUAUACUAGUCACUUUUUGCCUUCACGCAUUUUUAUUCUUUCUUAAAUUUUGUGUGUCAAGUCAAAAUCAUACAAAUAAAUUGAAACGAAGGGAGGAAGUAAUGGUCAAAAAACAACAACAUGCAUUUUGUCCCUAUAUACAAAUGUCAUACAGGAUCUUUUACUACAAUUCACAAAGGACAGUUCAGAAGCUAAGUGUGUUCUCUGCUACUGGAAAUGGCUUCUUUUUCCACCAGCUUCUACUUCUUGUCUCAGCAAGGUAUGCCGGUUCGUGCAAAAAUCAGUUUUUUUUUCACAAGAAUUGAUCAAAAUCACUGUGAUCCAACUUUGUUUUUUCUCUUUUAUGUGCAGAAUGUCGUGUCUUUAUCUGAUUUCUCUCCUCUAUAUCAGUUUCCCACUCAAAGUCCCAGGAGAAAAUUUUCCAAGAAAAUUGUUUCUGUGAUCACACAGCCAAGUUCAAGAAUGCCUGCCACCACUGGCUCAGUUGGGUUUAUUUUGUUUUCUAUCAAAUAUUUAUACUAAUAAAGUUUGCCUUUUCAUAUACCUACGCGUGUGGCUUAGUGAUCAAUGAAGUAACAUGAAAACCCUAAGGUCUAAUGUUCAAACUCUAGCACAAACAGAAACAAUAGGUGAUCUCUUUCUAUUUGCCCUAGCCUUGGUUGACAGAGUUAGCUGAUAUGUGAUGCUGGUGGGAGGAAAUAAGUAUCCCGUAGAUUUAGUUGAGGUGCGCAAAAGCUGGCCUAGACACCACGGUUAUAAAAUAAAAAACACUAGGUGAUUUCUUCCAUCCGUCUUAGUCUUAGUGGACAGAGUUACAUGAUACCUAUUGCUGGUGGGAGGUGGCACCCUAGCUGGUAUAUCGUGGUAUUAGUCGAGGUGAUUUCUUCCCAUCUGCCCUAGUCUUCGUAGACAGAAUACAUGUUACUAGUGGGAGGUGACAAGUAUCCCAUGAAACUAGUUGAGGUGCAAGAAAGCUGACCUAGACACCACGAUGAUAAAAAUAAAUAAAUCCCCCUUUUCAUAUUUGGGGAAUAAAGUUACAAACUUUCCCAUAUAGCUUAAUGGUACUUGAUGCUUGUGAUUGUGAAUUUUUUGUUUUUUUAGGUGAAGAGUUGGAUGACUAUGACUGAGAAGUUGCUGGCUAGGGCUUCUGAGAAGCUUCAUGUGGUUCCAGGUGAGAAUUUGUGGGUCAAUGUUGAUGUUUUGAUGACAAAUGAUAUUACUGGGCCUGGUGCUAUUGGAGUAUUUAAAAGAGAAUUUGGAGAAAAUGCCAAGGUAUGCUAAAAUAGCCAUAUCGUUGAAUUAAGUUGAGUUUCAUCUUUGUUGUUAUAUAUAGUUAGAGAUUUAUGUCUAUAGGUUUUCCGGAGUUUUUAGUUUAUGAACAUUCACAAUUGACGAAAAUGCUGGAAACUUCAUGUAUAAACAAGAGCAAGUUAGAGUUUGAUGUCUCCAAAGAUAUGAUUCAAUAUCUUACUCCUCAUUCCUGAAAAUUGUGUGACAAGUUGAAAAGGGAUGCUUUCGUAUCUUUACUUAAAAUCAUUCAUAUCUCGAACUUUUCCCUCUUGGUAACUCGAACUCCCAAGCUCAUGGUAUAAAGAGGGCAAGCAUUCGACUCGUGUCUAGUUGAGUUCUGUAUCACCUAGGAUAGUAGAAUUUCUGCAGUAACUUAACUAUACAAUAUACCCCGCGAUGAAGCAGCUGCACAGGAUCAGUGAUUCAUAGUUGAGGUACUGAGAAAAGUUGAUGCAGAGUACCAUGCUUUUCUAAAUUCUAAUCUAGUAAAAAACUCACUUGAACAGACCUUGAUUUUCCUGUUGGGACUUCUAUGGCUCUAAUAGUACCAGGGAUUGUUUGGUUUCUUCAAUAUCUUCGGUCUGGGAUCGUGAAAAGGUAGUUGUCAUACCCGAUCACUACAUUUUCACAGCUGAUGAAUGAGCAAACUGUAAUGUAGAUAGGCUGAGGGACUUCUGCAACGAGCAAAAUAUUAAAUACUUUUAUGACAUUAAGGACCUCGGAAACUUCCAGGUAUGAUACAUGUACUGCAGGAGCAUUCGGUCAAUUUGCAUCUGGAAUCGGAAAUACUGAUGCAGGUUUUGUUCUGGGUACUGGAAAGAUUUUGCUCAAGGUAAGUAACUACUUUUAUCCUAUUUCUAAUUGUAUUUGAUUUUCACUUGGACCACAUGUAUAACUGUGCUUUCAGUUUGCAUCUGGAGACCACAUUCCUUUGAUUCAUAUACUUGUUAUUGAGUAUAAGUAGAGAAAAAAGGAUAUAUACCUAUGAUGAAUAUCUCAAAGUUUAGUUAAUUUCGCGUGGAUCGCAUGUCCAUGUCUCAUUUGACAUAUAUGGUAUCUACCUAAAGUUUUAAAUAGUGUCGUCAUUUAAGGGAGGCAAGCGCAUUGAAAUGUUUAAAAUUCUAUUCUUUAGAUCCCCGUGUUUCAGGUUCCUGCAGCUCUCACAUAGAUCUACUGUGAAACACAGGUUCCUCCAACUAUCAGAUUUGUAUUGGAUGGUGAAAUUCCCAAUUACAUACUGCUGAUAAAACAACAUAUGACUACCUUAAGGUAUUUAGCUUAUGAUAAAACAACAUAUGAGUAGAUGUCUUAAUUACUCCCUUCAUCUGCUUGAUUGAGUGAAAUAAGACCAGUUCUCUUGCUUAUGAACAUCUUUCAUGUUUUUCCGUCACAGGACAAGACUACUGUGUAUUAUGAACCUGUCUACAGUGAUGAGCAAGCCAGGUAUCCAACACAAAAGAAAUUGGUAUAUAACCACUCGUGUUUUUCCGUAACCAUUACAUGUCUCCAAUUUCAUUUAUGAAGGAGAGCCGUGGAGCAAUGUUAAAAUUGUCUACAUGUGACUUAUAGGUCACGGUUUCAAGCCAUAGAAUCAGCCACUCAUGCUUGUGUCAGGGUACACUCACUUGGGGUGCGGGCUUUUCCCCAGCCCUUGCGUAAACAUGGAUGCAUCAUGGCUUUGUUGAAGAAAUAGCUUAGCAUGUAUGCUAAGAUGAUAUUCAUUAUGACUUAUGAGGUGAUUGCCAUAAAUUCCAGAUUUCUUGCGGAGUAUCAUUUCGACAUCUCAAAGUUGGAGCCCUUAGUAGCAAAGGUGGGUCAUAAUUUGGCUGUUAAUACUUUGACAUAUACAUCACAAGUGUCUACUGUCUUGUUUGUGCAUAUGAUCUUCAAUAUUUAUAUUUUUCUUCUCUUAUAAAUUUUCCAAAUUUCCCUUCAAAAGAAAAACAAAGUACUUUCAAUCUUUUCGUUUACUUCCUUUCCUAUCGAAUAGCACAGAUGUUGCUUUUCUGAUGUUCAAACAAACACAUUUUCGUAGAUUAAGAAGACAACAUGCACUUAAUUAAGUCUGCUUGAAAUAUCGUAUUAUUUAUUUUUUUGCAUGUACUCUUUAGCAUCAUUCUCCUGGUAAUCGUGCUUUGGCCAGAGAAUGCGAAGAUGUUAAGAUUGACAGAGUAUAUAUUGGAUCUUGUACCGGUGGAAAAACAGAAGACUUCAUGGCUGCUGCCAAAGUUUUUCUAGCAUCAGUAAGAUGAUAUCUCUUUCUCAAUAAUUUCACUAUGCAUAUGAAAAGUAGACAUGUAUAUUCUGUUGCACUUGUCUUCUGUAAUUUCUUAUACCGCCCGUUUAUUGACAUGCCUGUCUUGCUGUUGAUACACCAAAGUCCCCCAAAAUGCAUACCUUGUACCUUUCCAAAUAGAUCAUAUUCCUUUGAUUUAUAGCUGAAUAAGCAUUUUGUGCUUGUUAAGCUAUGUACAGUACUACACCUAAAGGUGUCUGUGUUUUGUGGUUGAGUUAGGCUCAAGUGUCACGUCUUUACAUGGUAUCAGAGCUAGGUUCAUCCCCGUAUGGGCUCCCGUUCCGCACUCCUGUUGGGCUUGCGUGAAGGGAGGGGUGUUAGAAUCGGUUAAGAGUCCCAUGUUGGUUGGGGAAUGGUGAUUUGCAUAUAUGGACUUGAGGUAAUCUUCCCCUCGUGAACUAGCUUAUGGGGUUGAAUUAAGCCCAGGUGUCAUAUCUUUACCGUGCUUAAAUGAUGCUUCUUGGUGGAAGUUUGGGAUGUGAUAUUUCUCAAACUUUUUGCCAUAUUGCUCCCUAAGAAUUCUUGUUUGGUUGCAUCUUUGGUGGAUAACAGAGUUUUGCAUUCUCACAGGGAAAGAAGGUCAAAGUUCCAACAUUUCUCGUCCCUGCUAUGCAGAAGGUUUGUGCUCUUACUGUAUUGUUCUGCCGGAUUCAGACACACCUAUAUACAACAUGAAUGUCAUGGUGGCAUACCAUAUGGUUAAAAAACAAUCGCAAAUAAUCUGUCCGUUAUAAGAUUUCCUCCGGUUAAUGGAUAACCAUUUUGUUACCAUAUAAUGCAAAACCUUACAAUGUCUCAGGUCUGGAUGGAUUUAUAUACUAUCCCAGUUCCAGAAUCUGAUGGCAAAACAUGUUCACAGAUUUUCGAGGAUGCUGGCUGCGAUGCACCAGCAAGUCCUAGUUGUGGUGCUUGUAUGGGUGGCCCUAGAGACACUCAUGCUCGGUUAAACGAACCUCAGGCAAGCUUCACCAAUGCUAGUGGUUACCAUUCUUGCAUUUUUUUCGAUUGAGAGUCUUCAAGUUACUUAUAUGAAAAGUGUUAAUCGCGCUAUAGCAAUGUGGAACAACAUUGAGCUGAUCAACGAACGAUUUGAUUUUCCCAGGUAUGUGUCUCAACCACAAACAGAAACUUCCCGGGGCGAAUGGGCCAUAAGGAAGGUCAAAUUUAUCUUGCAUCUCCAUAUACAGCUGCAGCAUCUGCAUUAACUGGUCACGUUACUGAUCUUCGAGAUUUUCUGCAGUAACAAUCUUGAUUAUUCAUGUUAAAACGCGCUAAAGCUUGAACUUUUCUUUGUAAUGUACACCUGAAGAUGUUUGUGUUUCUGACUUCUGUGACAAAAUACAGGUUUUUCAAGUACUCUUAGCUGUAGUUACAUUUAUUUGCUUGUGGAAAGUGUAAAGACGUGCUGAAUUUUUUGAAUCGUCUCAUUUAAAAGAUUAGUGUCUCGAUAUAACUUCUCUAUUAUACUCUUUUUCCCUAACCACAUGUGACAAUAUGAGAUUCAAUUCCUUGACUUUUACCUGUUCUGAUAACAUGUUGAUAGCAUGGAAAUAUCCUAUUUGUGUAAAUCACCCUAUACCAAAAUCAUCACAAGUUAGUCUAUUUUUUAAUUUUAUGUUAUGAUAGAUGUAUAAGUUACUAUGGCCUAAAUGAAUUUCUGUUUUUUUUGGGUACCACAAAUGAAAUUGGUUUUGUGAUCUUUUCACCCUUAAUCAAAGAUCUCGGAUUUGAGCUUGCGUAUGGAGAAAAUCUUGUUGGCCCAUGUUGGGAGCGUCAUCCCUGAAUAGGCCCUGCAGUGCACGAUCUGAAUUUAGUCGGAGCUCUAAUGUGGACUCCGGACAUCGAGUGGGAAACUUAAAAAAAACUUUCAUGUUCUUUUUUGAGAUAAUUUGGAAGUGACACAUAAUAGUUGGUGACUGAGAUCUGAACUCAAAUAGUUUCAUCAUUGUGUAGGGUUCCUAUUGUUAGGAAAAAGUGGAGAAAAAAGAAUAAAACACAAUGGAUAGAGCAUGAGGUUUAUUAUACUUUAUGUUAGGAACCUUCUAGAAACACUAUACUAUUAUAAUUAGUAUUUGUAUCACUUAACGGAAGGGAAAUCUUGAAGCAACGAUAAAAAUGUUUUUAUUUAGCCUAUAGGUUACAAAUUCAAUCGUGAGAUGGAUUAUUGACCUUUGCGUUAAGACGAGGUAUCUACGUAUACACAUAACACACGAGAUGUAACCUUAUAUUGUGUAUAUUCAUUAAUUUAAUAUAAACAUCGAAUGAAAGUACACUUUACCAUACUUAUCUUGUCUCUUCAUGGACUCCACAAGGAGUAUUGGAAUACAGUUGUCACUUGAUCAAUGAAAUAAUUAUGUUUAGAAUGACUAACAUUAGUCAUAAUCAGAAUUAUUUCAUCAUAAGAAUAUAAAUUAAUAUAUAGUAGUGUAUUUGUUUUUAGUAUUCCAACCUUAUCUAAACUACUAUGUGAUUUGACAAACUAAACAUAGUAUAUGCUUGUGUUUAGGAGGAAAUAAUAUAUUUUACAUGAAAAAUGUAUAAAGGAGCUAAUUUUGAUGGAACAUAAAAUUACUGGGGGACAAAGCUACAAACACAUAGAGACAAAAGUCACUCUUGAUAAAAAUGACACUCUAACCCUACUCACCCCCCCUCCUUUGGAGGGCUAGAGGGUGAGGAAUUAAAUAAUAUUGAGUUAACUUGCACUAUGGUACAGUAAGGAGAUGUCAGAGGUUGAAUGUGGUAGGUGUAAGAUGACAGAGAGAUAGGCCAAAGAAAUCUUGAAGAAGAGCGAUUAGAUAGGACAUGACACAAUUUUAGCGUACCAAAAACAUACCGUUAGUAGAAGGGCCUAAAGGUCGAGUAAAAGAGUAGAGGAUCACUACAUGAUUGUUUCUUUCACUCUGUUUAUUUAUUAUCUACCGAUUCUUUUUCAUCUAUGUAUGCUCUACCCUUGUCAGACUUCACUUACCAGAUUAUACUGGUAUGUUGUUGUAGAGUUAAAGUGCAUGCACUAUAUCUUGAAAGAUAACUUUAGCACAAAGCACAUGAUAGGACUUUGCACAAACUCAACUUAAAUUCUCAAUUUUUUCAGUCAUGUAAUGAUGGACAGAAUCCACAAUAGAGGAUUUGAUAAGAACUUUCAACAUCUAGUGUCUUUAAUGACUUCACCACUAGCAAAUUCUAUAUAAUAUAUUAUCUUAUAUACCACCAAACAAAAAGAGAUUGAUCAACUCAACAUUAAAAUAAACAAAUAAAUAAAUAGAAUUUCUUGCAACAAACACAAAACACACAAAAAGAGGAAAAUAGCAUUCCCAUAUUUACAUCAUGAGAAAGGUAGGUAGAUUUUGGGGCAAAAACAUUGGUGUAUCAACUAUAUGAGGGGGCUUUAGACCUAAACCAAAAAAAAAAAAAAAACACAAAAGUGGGGCACUUUUUGAAGAGUAAAUGGUGCAAAACAAAAAAUGCAACCAUGAAAAAAGUAACAUUAUCCCUAUUUCUGUUUUACUUUUUGUUUCUUCCAAACUUUUUUUACCAAGCAUGUUCCUUGCACCAAAGCAUAUUUAGAUAGGUUUUCCUUUGUGUCUCUCUUGUUUCUGAGGGAUUCUUGGAGCUGAAAAUAAACCAAUAACUAGUGUUAGAGCUAAGGAAACAAAAUGACAAAAAGGCUAUAUUGCUCGGACUCUCCAAAAAUGCACUACUUUUGGAUUUGGAGGAUCCGACACACACCCUGCACCCCGCAGCACUUUUGAAGAGUUUUCGAGCAAUAUAACAAAAGGAGAGGUAGAGUGUUCUUUUGGCAUGGUUGUGUACAUACCAAGUCCAUUAGCCUCAGAAGUCCUCAUGAUUCUUAGCCUUUUCACAGUGUUGAGAAACAUCCUAUAACACAUGAAAGUAUUAGAACAUAUAAAGAACUAGAGUGGGGAGCUAGAAAUGAUAACAACUUGAUUUUUCAUAGAUGUAGAUCAUACUUUUUGUUAAUGUCCUUCUAUGCUACUUUUUCAUGACAUGUAGGGCCCGUUUAGGGAAAAACACACCUACAAAGAAUUUCUUCAUUCCCUCCAGACUGACUCGAGACCUCUAGUUAAGGAUGGGCGAAUCACAUAUAUCUAACCACAUCAAGGUUGAUGGUGUUUCUCUAUGCUUACUAAUGUACUACAUGUAUCCAUAAUAUUGAUAGUUUUAUGCCUAUUAUUUUAGUCGUUUUCAUCUUUGUACUUCCUCGUUGGAAGAUGAAGGUGUGAUCAUUUGCUUUCAUGAAUUAGGUCCACCAAAAGCACCAUGCAUAAUAUAUAUAUACUUGAGAAUUGAGAUCAUCAAUACCUCAUGUUUGCUAAUAUAUUCUCUUGUUUUUUUUGGUUGGUGGGGGUUGAUGAAAACUUAGACUUCUAAUAUUUCUAUGCUUUUUGCAACUAUAGAAUAUUACUAAUUAAGGGAAUUUCUUACCCAAAUGGAACAUCUCCAACAAGCAUCCAGUCUCCUUCUUUAUCCUCAUAUGUGAGCACAAAUUCAGAUGAUCCAUCCAAGAGCUUAAAAGACUUAGUUGCUUGUUCCUUUUCACCGCCUAUAAAAAAAAGGGAACAUCAACAAUCACUUCAUAACAAAAACAUCACAAAGCAUACAACCGAUUCGUUUCAUUUAGUCCCUUUUCUACCGUAAAACAUGGGGUGCUCCACGCCCGUGUAGAAGUAUUAUGCACAUGAGAAACAAAUAACUACACUUGAUCUUAGCCAAAGGCUGAGCAAACUAGUUUUUAGAGCUAAUUUAAGUAACAAAACAAGAAGUAAACUUUGAAACAGAAUCCAUACUUUUGGUAGAUUUGAAGAACAUAUCCUCCAAGGUUUCGGCUAACGAUUCAUAGCAAGUAUGAGCAUUCAAAUCCACCUUUCUUCCAAUAGGCAAACCAUCCAUAUUCACCUUCACAAAACCAAGAUGCCCCUUUUCUUUAACAGAAGCUGCAUCAUCCUUAGUGUUCCCAUGAUUGAUUUUCUUCUUCGAGUGCUCCUUCUUAUCGUUCCCGCCAACUCCCUUGUCUUCAUCAGCAUUUAGAACCUUUGAUUGAUUAACCAAGCUGUUCAUUCUGUAUGCCCUUAUGGGUGGCCAUCCCACAACCUGACUGCUUUCAGAAAUCAAAAUAAAUGAAUCAUCAAUUAUAUACUCAAUCAUCCAUCAAGAAUCCAAAUUCAUGAACUUUGUAAUCUUAGCUAAAAAGAACAAGUCAAAAGAAAGAGUUAAAAAAAAAGAGAGGAAAGAGGCAUAUGAAUGUUUGCAAAAUGUUUUCUUUUUCUUUUCUAAAAAGUACAAAAAAAAAUUGUCAAAAAUUAUCAAAGUUGCACUAAAAGUAGGAUUAGAGGGAAUAUAAUGAUAGACUAUCAUAAUGACAGGGCAACCAAAAGCAACUUUUUUGGCAGAUUUUAGAUUAAAGGUAAUGAGAUGAACAAAGGUGAUGCAUGCUCUGCCAGCUUCUUAGAACCAGUAAUUAAAAAAUUAAACUAAUAACUCAUCAAAGACAAAAGCUAAAACAAAUUAAAGGAAUAUAUACUCAACAAUAAAAAUCUAUUCUUGACUAGAUUAAACACAACUUUUCAUAGAUAAACAUGAAACUAUUGUAAAAAAAAGUUGUAAUAUUAAAGGAAAGAACUUUUCUUCAAGAUCAUGAAAACCCUACAAGGAAUACACAAUUUCUUGAGUAAACUAAACUUAAACUUCAUUGUUAGUCAUCAAAAUUAAUGUAAAAGCUCUAAAAUCAAAGAAAAGAACUCUGCUUUAGGAACCAACAAAAAACAAAAGCAAAAACAAAUCCAAGGAACACAUAACAAAAAUCCUAGAAAAAAAAUGAAACUUUACAUAAGAACCUAAAAUCAUUUACUCCCUUUUGAGAUACACAAUUUCUUGAGUAAACUAAACAUGAACUAAAUGCAAAAAGAUUACUAAAAUUAGAGAAAAGAACACAUUUUUAUGAAAAUUUACGAAAUUCUUGGAAAAAGUGAAACUUUACAUAGGAACCUAAAAUCACUAAGACCCUCUGAGAGAAACACUUUCUUCAGUAAACUAAACAUACCACCAUGGCUAAACAUGAUAUAAAUGCAAGAAAAAUACUAAAUUUAGAGAAAAGAACACAUUUUUAUGAGAAAAAUAUGAAAUACUAACCUUGCACCAGUAGGAGGAGAUCCAACCUCAGUUGUAGUACCAGCAAAAUCAGCAGCUCUUUUAGUACCAGAAACACCACCACUAAUGGAUCUUUUAGCUGAAAAUCCAUUAGGAAAAUCUUUAGCAGUUAAAAUCCUACCAUACUCACCCCAUGGUGACUUCUUAGUCUUCCCCCCCACCCCACCACCCCCACCCCCACUGUUAAGGCUAAGACCUAACCCCAACUCAAGCUCUGUUUCAUCCUCAGAACAAAUACCCAUAUUGUAAUCUUGCUCCAUUUUUGCACCUUUUUCACUAAGACUUGGUUCCAUGAAAAGGGGUUUUUUCAAGAAUCUGUGAGUAAAUUUCAAGAAAAUGUGUAAGAGUAAAAUGGGGUUACAGGGGAUCAAGAGAAUGUAUAGAUGGGGGGUUGUGGGGGGUGGGGUAAAAUGGUGGAGGUAGUGAUGAUUAUGGGACCCAUAUGUCUGGUAGUGCACCAAGCACUGUCCUUGAAAGAUAAUGAAUUAUAAUUCUUGUUUGUUCAUCAAGUUUCUUUAAAACCAAUUUCUCAAAACUCAUGAUUUUGGGUUUUGGUUUUGUAUUGCCAUGCUUGCUUUUUUGGUAUUAAUUAGUACUUGAAAGUGUGUGUUUUUUCUUUGUCCCCUUUUGCCACCUCUUUUGUCCAAAUGUUGGAAACAAAAAAUAGUAUGGGAAUCAUUUUGUAUUUCUUGAGUUCUGUAAAUGUCUAAAAUUAACUUUACAAAAUACUAUCAUGUCCAUUUUUAAUUAUCAUGUUACGUAUUUUAAAAGUUAAUUUUGACUAAGUUUUAAAAUUAUAUUAUAUUAUAUUAAUUUGAUAUUUUAAAUAAAAAAAAUUAGAUAUUCAAAAACUAUACGAAAAGUACUAUAAAUUGUAAUUUUUUACAUAUCGUAAAAUGUAGAUCAAAGUUCUUAUCGUUUGACUCUAAAAGGGGAAACUAUGAUAAUUAAAAGUGGACGGAGGGAGUAAUAGUAUUUAAUAGCAAAGGUAAAAUAGAUACAAAAAGUAAAUUAUCUCUUGAUUUUCUAAACUGGAGAAUUUUUGUUGGACAACUAUAUAUAUUUAGUAUACUAGACAAUUAUUGUUGGACGAAAAAAGUAAUAAUCUUUUAAAAUUUUAAAUUUAGUUACUACUAAGAGGUAAGGUGGAAAAGAUUGUUUUAUGCUUGGAAGCUUUCGAUACCUCAGAUUUAUUUACUCGUGGCAACCUUCGAGCAAUGAAAAAGGAUUUUCGGAAUAAUGGAGAUUAGUGAUGUACAAAAUAAGGCUCACAAGUAAAAUGUUCUUGAUUUGCUAAAAUGUAAAAAAAAAAGUAAAAUAAAAUAGCUAUUUCUGAUAUAGAUUUCAAAUAAAUUGAAAUUGAGGAAGUAUUUCUUUUGCGUUUAAAUAGGUAUGAUUUUACAAAAAAAAUAUAUAUAUGUUUAUCACAAAAUACCUGUCUUUUUAGUGUUCAAGAUGAUAUUAUUAUUUUUUUCUCAUUUUCUUUUAGUAGUAAUAGUGUUUAAGCAGAUAUAAAUAAAGUAAAUAUAGAAUGAAGAAAAGCUAUAUCUUAAAAUUUAAAUAAUUAAGAAUUUCCUUUUGUUAAUUAGUAUUUUUAAAAUAUAUUAUAAAUAAAAAUAUGACAAAUAUUUUGAGAUUACGAGAAUAAUUCAACUUUCAAAAUUUAUCAAUUUAAAUUUAUAUUAUAAAAUAUAUAUUAAAAACUCUAAUAUAUUUAGAGUUACAAGUAUAAUUAAUUAAACAUGCAGCUACUACAUGAUUGUCCUUUCAACUAAUUAAGCAUUCUUGGUCUCAUGCAUGCAAAGCAGGACAGCUAAGGUCAAAUGAGAAUGAACAUUUUUAAUUUACAGAAAUUAAUUGUUACAAUAUAUGUAUUACUACUAAUUAAAUGAAAUUUUAUCUUACAUUUUAUCGUGCAUAAAAUAAAUUUCGUAUAAGUUAUGUAUGACGAUAAUGAUAUAACUGUUGCUUAUUAUAUUUAGCGGUAAUAAUAAAUAUGAAUACUUAUAAUCAACAUUAUAUAUAAAUAUCGCUAGAGGUUUAGCAACUCUGUAAUAUGUAAUAACAUUAACUCAAUUACGUGACCAAUAUUAGUCGUGAUGGGAUGAUAGAAAAUUUCUCCAUUUUUCAAAGAUUUCAUGUUUGGUUGAGCCUUUAGGAAUGAAAAAAAUUGUUUAGAAACAUCACCUUCAAAAAUUAAGUUUUAUAGUAUACGAAUGAAUUUGAAUCUAAUCAAACCUGAUAGAGAUAUCAAAUAUUAAUUGAAAUCAAAUGAAAAGAAAAGAAGAAAAAAGAACUUUAUGUGGUUGCUUGUACUAAUUUUCUUUAGGAUAACAUAGAAUCUUUUUUGAAGUCCCAUUAAUGUCUGCCACAAUAUGUCCAAUUACCUAUUAUUAGUCUUGAAUAAAAGCACUUAACUUUUUUAUUUAGUAAAUUUGUUUUAUAUAUAGUAACUACUAACUUGUAGUACAAAAAAGAAUAGAAUUUUAAUGAAUUUUUUUGUACAAGUGACAUUAAUUCCAUUUUCAACCUUUACAUCAAGUGUGAAUCUUGAAAAGAGUUCUCUUAGAAGGAAAUCAAAGAAGAGAGAGGGCUAAGAGUCAAAAUGUCAAAUUUAUCAUUGAGAGAUGUGGUGGAAUGAAUAAAAUUUCUAUAUUUUAAAUAAGAAAUUUUGAGUUCAAUUCUUAAAAAAAUAAAAUUAAAUGAAUCAAAUGUGAUGACGAUCGUCUGAAUUUUAAUCGAACAAAUAUCGAAUGAUUAUAGAAGAAAUUCAAAGACAUAUAUAUUGGACUUUAUGUCAAUACUAGAAAGACUGUUUUCGAAGGACUCUUGGUUUAAGUAAAGUAAAAAAUAGGAGUAAUGAAAAAGAAAAAGCAAUUCUGAAGAAAACAUGACAACUAAUAGGAAAGCAAUAUCAAACAUACGAGCAAGGUAAACAAGAACAUCAACAUAUAUAAUAUUGCAAUCACCUAGACAUAGAUAAUAAACAACAAAUCAAAUAACGAAUGCAAGAAACUAAUUAAAUAUGAUAGCCACAAUGCCCUAGACUAUCACCAUGCCUAGCUAACUCGAUCCGUUGAAAAGUAAGACAAUGCUCAACUCUAACGUUUCACCCUUACGUGAUCUUCAUAUCUUCUAUCUAAAAUUAUAUUUUUGAUAAAUUAAAAUUAUAUUAUGUCAUAUCUAAUCACCUCUUCCGACAGAAGCAUGAAAAGCAAGAGAAAAGAAAAGAAGAAAUUAGCAUGCAAAAAAAGGAAAGGAAAAGAGAUAGAAAGGGGAUAUAUAGAAGGAAAAGAGAAAGACAAAGUGUCAUAUUCAUGAUGAAGAUAUUUUAGAAGACUUUUGCCUAAGAAUCUUUAAUUAAGCAUUUGUCACUACUCAAACAAACAAAGAUUUCGAAAAUAUACUAAUAUUACGUUUUGCCAAACUUUUUAAAUAAAAAAUAUUUCUUGUUAGAAGUAUUUGUUAAAGAAAUAUUUUUUUAAAAUAGUAAUUUGUGUUUAACUAAUUAUUUUGAAAAUAUUUUUGUUAAUAUUAAAACAGUAAUUUGUAUUUAACUAAAAUUUUAAAAUGUUUAAUGAAAAAAUAUUUUUCUAAGUAAAUAAAUUCCUUAAAAAAAAUUCUAAUAAAACAAAUAAAAUUUCACAUUUAUUUCCUUUAAUGAAAACUUUUUUCAACCAAACACACUCUAAUGCUAUUGAUUUUUUUAAAAAGGGAGUGCAUGUACAAAAUGUAAAAGAUUUAAAAGAGAAAUAAUAUAAAUAUGAAGGGAAUAAUUUAAGGUGAGGAAGUUCUUCUUAAUUAGGAAAAAAAAAGAAUAGAAUAUUUGCUUGUGUUUUUGUUUUUCCCUAGUGGAAUUGAAUCUUUUAUUAUUUAUUUUUGCUUUUCUUUUGUUUUAUUUAUUAUUUUAUUGCUUUCGAUAAAUUAAAAAAAGUAGGAAUAUGAUACUAGCAAUAUACUACUUGAAGUCUACAAUCCUAGAAAUCCAAAAUUUCAGGGAUCAAGAAUCACAAUUUGGGGCCACCUUUGGAUAAUUUUGUUAUUUUUUUAUUAAAAAAUUGUAACAAAAUAUAUAACAAACAUAAUAUUAGGGGGCCCUAUGAGAGACAAAUAAUAAUAAUAAUAAUAAUUAAUUAGUGGGAUAACUUAAAUAAGUGAAUUGUUACAGUAGCUUUAAGGUAAUGAGCAAAAAAUAGUAACAAAAAGAUCAAUAUAUAAUUGUAUUGCAUUUCUGAAUUAGAUCACAUAUACUAUAAAUAAUAACAUAUCCAAUAUAAUUUUACAAAAAAAAAAUUAACAUUUUAAAAUACACAAACAUUACUCCUAUUUUUAUGAAAUCCCUUAAUUAUUUAUUUAUUUAAAAAAAAAAAGAGAAAUCAAAAUGAAAGAAAAAUAACAAUACCAAUAAAGAUCAGAGUGAUUAAUAUUAAUUAUCUUUAAAAUCAACCUUUAUAUCUAUUAUGAUUUCAAGAUAUUUUCACAUAGAACAAUACUUCCCAACUGGGAUUUUUUUGUUUUGCCAUAAUUUUUUUCAGGUUCUUGAAAUUGUGUCAGCCGUCCGAUAUUGUUAUUGAAACUCGAUUAAUUUGAAUUCAUGCAUUGCAAGCAGUGGUAAAAAGUAGAGCUUAAAAUUUAAACUUGAAACCUCAAGGUUUUUGAACUCCCUAAAUCACUAAUCAAUAUCUAAUCUUACAUUUAAAAGAUUCAAAAUCAAUAUAUAGACAUAAAAAAUCUUUAAAUACAUUAUAUAUAUACAAUAUAAUUUUUGACGAGGGGGUUCGGAUGAAUCUCCUCAACUACCUCGAAGUCCGCCCCUGAUUACAAGAUCUAUUUUUAUUAAUGCUCAAACUCUAAACCACUGAUUAAUUGUGAAAAUAUCUUAACCAUAUCUCACCAUUGAUUUCUUUUGCCAUAUCAAACACACAUUUUCUUAUUCUUUAGUUUUUGAAUACAUAUAUUAAUAUGUUAGAGAACAUUGUGUUCAUUUCCAAUUGAACCUAGUAUAUAUAGAUUGUUUUUUGUUCCAAGAAACAAAAAAUCUAAAAUAAUACAUUAUAUGCGUUUUCAUCUAAAUACCAUUAUUCUUUUUACUCCUUUAGCUCCAAUGAUCUUUAAAAUCUUCAUUCUCAAAGAAAUUAAAAAGAAAAUGUGGAAAGAAUAUAAAUAAAAGUAAACCACUUUUUUGUUUUGUUCUUUUUUAUCGUGCUUGUUAAAAGGAACAAGAAAAUGAUUUGUAAUAUAAUCCCUCAGUCCAACAAUACUUGUCCACUAUUGAUUUUACACACUUCUUACGAAACUAUAAAUAGAAGGAUAAUUUUUUUAUAUCGCUCUUUGUAUAUAAAAAAUACAACCGGUCUUUCAUAAAGUAGACAAAUAUUGUUGGACAUCUUAGAAUAGUAGAAUGGACAACUAUUAUUGGACGGAAGAAGUAUUACUAUAAAAUGAAAAUAUCGUGAGAUAAUAGACGAUACGAUAAAUUGAUAAAUGAGAUAAUGUAAGAAGAAUCCAAAAAGGCGAAAACUUGUCUUAUCAUAGGGACAUUCCGACAAAGUGGGGCCCAAAGUCACGUGACUUAGAGCCACGUAAGCCGACAAAGAGCGCGGCUGACCGGGAGGCUGUGUGUGUUUAUGGGACCCACAAAUUUACCUGAGACAUCUUAGGACUUAGCACCCAUUCACACCAACAAAAACAUUUGUGCAAUGUUUUUAUGUUUACAAAAAAAUAAAUUAAAAAAAUCUAAUAAAUUUCUUAAUUAUAGUAAUAUUUUAAAGUGGAAAUUUUUAAAAUUUGUGAUCUUAAAUAUUACUCCCUCCGUUCCUAUUUAGUUGUCCAUAUUUCCUUUUUUAGUUGUCCCUAUUUAGUUGUCCAUUUUGACAAAUCAAGAAAGGACAACAAAUUUUUUCCUAUUAUACCCUUAUUUACACUUCUUGAAAAUUUCUAAAAGUGUAUGUUGUUUCCCUCCAAUUUAUUUCACUUGAAUUCAAAGAAGUGGUCGUAAUUUUGAAGUGAAAAAUUGUCAUAAGGGUAAAAUUAUAACUUCACUGUGCUAAUCAUUGUUGCCUUAAUCUGUGUGUCAUUUCUAAAGUGGACAACUAAAAAGGAACAGAGGGAGUAUGUCAUUUUGACACAGAGGUGAGUUAAUGAGGAUGGAUCAUAAGGAAAAAUUAUUCUGCUACUAUCUUUUAAAGUCUCGUCGCUUUGAUGAAUGAUCAGUUGAGUUUUAGUAGAAUUCUGAUGAUAUGAAGCUAGACUAUUGAGUCAUUAUGUUUUUUUUUUUCAAAAGAAUUACGGUUCAUGACCUCCUAAUUGUCAUUGUUCAAUUACUUCCUUUUCAUGAUCCGAUGUGUAUACUUACUACAUUUACUUCUAAAAUUCUAAAUAGGAAUUGUAACCUCAUGAUCGUUCACAUUUUGCAUGAAUUAUCGUCUUCACGACUUUUUUUCUAGCUAGGCUGACAAAACUUCUAGAGAAGGUUGAAUGUACACUAUACUUAAAGACGAAUUUUACAUCGAAAUAGGUGAAAAUGAAGAUUUAGAGGUGUUGUGGGUGGUAGUGGAGGGGUGAAGGGUGUGGGGGGAGGGGGGGGGGGAUGUUGAAUGGAUUGGAAAGAGACAAUAAAUUUGUAUUUUAAAAAAAAUUGAUAUUAUUAAAAAUAAUUUGUAAUGAAAAUCAUUUUGUUCUCCUUUAUGGUUAGUACUAACUUAGUGGCAAUCGCAGAGAUACAAUCAGAAUUUGUUAUUAAAUACAUAAUUCCUCUUAGUUAUUGGGUUAAUUAAAUAUUUAUAUAUAUUAAGUAAUUUUUUAAUUUAAAUAUAAAAUAUGAUCUAAGCAAAAGAUACUAAAUUUAUCUAAAUCCUAAGUAAUACUUUACCUCUGUUGCUAAGCAAAAGUAAUAACACUCUUCAACAAUAAGUAUGGGUAGAUAUAACAUUGCGACAUUAGAUUCACAUGAAUUCAAUAUGUUUUAUAUAAAUCAUAGAACUAAUAAAUAUGUCAAAACCUAUAAUUUUUAAAAAUAUAAAAAAAUUAAUAUUAUAAAUUGUAAGUAUUAAACUCAUAAAAUUUAAUUUUGAUCUAGAACGAUAUGUAAGUUAGAAAUGAAAAUUGAUAUACACGCUAUCAUAUUUUCAAAAAUAGCAGCCAAACACCAAAAGCUGGUUAUUUUAUUAAAGGAAUAUAUAACAAUAUUCUCUUUCAACAUCAACUUCACUUUAACAUAAAAACUUUAUUAUAUACGAUUCCAUUUUGUCUUGCAAAUUAGUAGAAAAAUAGAUAUCUAUUUUAGUUACGUCUAUUAACAGAAAUUAAAGUGUAAUUUUAAUUCGUUAAGGUCACCACUAGAUUACUUGUGCAAAAAUAUAGCCGUCCACAUAAUCAAACUGUCUAAUGUUAUUUUAAAUUUAGCUUAUGUAUCAUUUUAAUGAACGGAUAACUCAAUUCUUAGAACAUAUUAAAACCUCAAGUGGUAAAGAGCCGACAUCAAGGUGCUAAACUAGCUUCACGUAGACGUACUACAAUAAAAAUAAUUUUUAGCGGUAAAAAAAAUACACAUUAACAAAGGGUAAUAAAAUUUUUACUGACAUUAGUUAAUUGUCAUUGGAUCCAAUGUCAGUAUAGGCUCUAGAAACAUUUAUAAAAAGUAAUAAUUGUCUAAAAAAUACAUAUUAUUACCGUUAAAAAUCAUUUUUGAUAUAGUGAUGUGAGCUCUUAGGAAUCGAAAGAUCAGCGUAAUCUUUUAUCUCUAAAAUAUUUAUUAAGCGAUGACUCUUAUAGAAUCACUAAGAUCGAUUUUCAUCUUGGCUCGAUGGGUGAGUCUUGCAGUCAAGCUCAUUGUUAAAGCUAAAAAAUAAUUAACAAUGCAUCUAGUUUAGAAAAAAAAAUGUUUGAUUUAACUUUAUUUGUUUUAUCGUGCACUUUUUUAUGGUUCUUUUUUAACCAAUAAAAAUAAAAGAUUAAUUUUUUUUCUUUAUUUUUUUAUUGUAAAAAAAAAGUGUAUUUGACAAAUACAAAGGGACCCAAAUGGAAGGAGGAAGAUAUUCCUCAUAAUUCGAGAGCUGAAAUUUGAGAUACGAACAAUCAUUCUGUCUCCACGCCUUCUUUCUUUUCUUUGUAUUUUCAGUAUUUUUUUAAAAAUAAAUUUUUGUAUUAAUAAUUAAUAUAUAUUAUUUAUUUAUGCAUCUUUUCUUUUAGCAUUCACCAACUUUUGUUGAACAGGAUUUAGUGUACGCAUAUCUUAUUCAUAUUUUAAGAGUUAAAGAGGUUGUUUUCGAUAGAUUCUUGUCUCGAGAAAAAAUAUUGAGAAAAAAGUAGUGGUAAGAGAAAAAGGUCAUGAUAAAAUAUUAUAUAAAAUAUGUUAAAGUAUUCUGAAAACAAACAAAAGCAAUAACUGCAACAAAUAGUAUGAUAAUCGAAUUACGUACCAUAUAUAGAAAUAACAAAUAGUAUUAGUAAUCGAAGGACCAAAAGUUUAGAAGGAUAAGUGAGACACUUUACUAUCUACUAACCUUCAACCCUAAUUUGUGUCCUCCACACCUCUUGUCUAAGGAAAUUUCCUAGGUAAGCUGAAAUUGUGUCAUGUCCUAUCUAAUCAUCUUUAAUACUUCUACGGCUUAUUUCUAGCUCUCGUGAAACCAUCCAUAGCCAACCUUUAAUACCUUCCACACAAGGACAUGUGUAUCUCAUCUUCACAUUUUAAUUUUCUAAUAUAGAUAUACAUGAUCGAUAUGGUUGUGAGCGGAAAACAAUAAAUUCAGUUGAAUCUGCUAGGAUAUUCAUCAUAAAAUUUCAAACGUUUUCUCUAAACAAUGGAGUACUAAAGUUUUGAUUUUUGCCAAUUAACCUCUAAAUUUAGACAGCUAAAUCCAAAAAUCAUUAAAAAAUUAUAUCAACAUGCUAAACAUUAAUCAUGCUACAAUAGUUAAACCUCAUGAAAUUUAAUCUAAAGAAAAUGUUGAUUCAAAAACCAAAUCAAUAUUAACAAUAACAAAAUGAUAAAAGCCAAUGACAGAAAUAUAGAGAACAAAUAUAUUUAUGUUACGUUCGAAAUUCAUUGUCACAAAAGAGUAAUGGUACGAUAGUAUCGACCUGCAUUGAUUUAAAAUCUUGAAUCUUGUCUCUGAUUACGAAUAACAAACAAGUAAAUUGCAAAAGUGACAUAAUAACACCUGGGCUUUGGGCCUUCAAUUUAAUUCCACUUGGGCCUUCAAAAAAUUAUGACCUGGGCUUGGUCUUGGGCUUUUUUUCAAAACAAUGAUCUGCUGCCAACUGAUGGGCUAUAGAACCUUGUGUUAUAUUUCUUUUGAGGCUUACCACAAAUGCAUUGGCAUUCAUAUCCCAUUAUGUUACCAAAACAAGAAAACAAUCCACUCGAACCACGUGCAUGCCUCCUCCCGUGACGACCGGUCGAAUGGUAGCUGCUCGAGGCAUGUCCCCGGUCGUACACUGGUGGUACCUCCGUCCUCCACCUCUCGAGUUUGGACCUGAGCCCCUCAACGCUCUCGUCCAAACUCCAACCAUCCAACACCGAGCUCUUUUGAUCAUCCAACGGGUAUUUUUUUUCGGCCACGGCCGCCGCGACCUCGGAUGCUGAAGGCCCAAUUUCUGAGUCAGUCCAAUGAUGAGCAUUUCCCUUAAUUGGGCCUCCAAAUACAAAUUUUCCAUUGUGUCCUACCCCUUUUGGGCCUCCAAACUCAUAUCCAUUAUAAUUUUGAAUGGGCUUUCCUAUAACUGUUAUGGGCUCUUUGGGCUCAUCAACUUUGGGCUUUGUGAGAGAUUUUUCAUCAACUUUUUUUUCAUUUGUGGGCUUUUCUUUGUUCUCAAGCUCUAAAGCUAUAAGUUUGAGUUUGGGCUUAUCUUCUUUAGGCCCAGUAUUAUAAAGUGAUGACUCUUUACUCACAAUUGAAUCACUUAAAACUGAGCCCGUUUUGCCCUUUUUACCUUUGGGUUUUUCUUCUUUAGGUCCACUUACCAUAGAACUUGCUUUGCCUUUCUUUUUUACCAACAUUUGUGGUGGAGGCUCCAAAGAAAUACUAAGAAUUGAGCUUUCUUUGUCAUAAUUAUGUGCUUUAUUCUUCUUUUUUGAAGGUUUUGCAACUAUUGAACCACUAGACUUUGGUACAUCAUCGUCGAAUUUGACACGUUCGCUACGUUCACUCUUUGUACGUAACAAUAUUGGUUUUAUAGUAGUCACGUUGUUAUUAUUGGUGUUGGUGUUGUUGUUGUAGUUGUUGGUAGUGGUGGUGGUGGUGAUGGUUUUUUCGUUGUUUGUUUUCUGGUUGUGGUGGUGAUGAGGGAGUUGUUCUUCUUCCAUCAAAUCACGAUAUCCAACAGCUGACUUGUUUAAUUCAGUGUACAAUGGCAUACUUCUCAUGGUACUAUCUAGUAAUGCAACACCAAUGUUCAAUAUCCCUUGAGGUCUCCCGGAUGGACGACGUACCUAAUACCAAAAAAAAAUAAUACAUAAAUUUUCAUCGAAGAAAAUAUUCAGAAUCAUUAAUUAGGUUAUUUAUAAUUAAAUCCAUCUCAAUAUUCAUGACCAAUUAAUCCAUAUCAUUGAAAAUUCAAUUAGAAAACAUAGUUCUAAGCAAAUGUACUAUGAAAAUUAUAUAUUGGUCAAAACAAUAAUAAUCUUGAAAACCAAAUUUUGAAUAUAUAUAUACAUAUAUAUAUUAUAUGAUGGAAGAAUCAAGAAUGGAGCAAAAAUUUACAUGCAUGCAUGCAACUUUACGUGAACAUGCUAAACAAAUUUCCUAUUUAUAGAAAUAUUGGAAGAAUGAAAUUAAGAAUAUAAUGUGGUUGUUACGUUAGGAAAAAAAAUAUGUUGAACAAUCAAACAUAAAAAAAUUGAAAAAUAUUUUCGAAAUUAAACCUGAAGUGCAACAAAACGCAUGCCAAGAUUAUGAGGAUGAUGAUUAUGGUGUGUCCUAGACGGAGGAGGGAUAAGGUUUCCGACGAGGACGCGAACAGACCCCACAAGAGAAUCCUUAAACCAAUGGCCACAGUGAAUUUCUAUUUGUACGGCUGAGGUAUCUUGCCGGAGAAACUCCUCAUCCACACGAAAAACAAAUUUAUCGUUCCACGUUGGGUUGUUACCUCCUUCUAUGUCAACCGCGGUGGUUAGCUUCCGUGUAGGGUGGACCCACACGGUCGCGUAAGUUUUCAUUUUCUUGGACAUAGGUUCCAAAUCUUGAGCGGAGAUGAUGUUAAUUUCCAAGAGUUGGAACGGUUUCAAGACCCCCAUUUUGAAAAUUUUGGUAAAUUCGUAACGUUUAAUAAAAAAUAUUAUUAGUCGCGAAUUUAAUCUUGAUGGUGAAAUGAGAAGGCUUCGUUCGUCGUUCCCUGAAAGGAACGACCGAGAAAUGAAGAGAGAAGGACGAGGGGUAGGGGGAGGGGGUGGUGAUUUUCUCGAGGAGAGAACAUUAAGGCAUUGUUACAAAGGAAGAAAAUGUGUUUUUGAAAUAAUGUUUGUGUUUUUUUUUUGGCCGUAAGGUUCUUCAACCCUUUUUAUUGUAAAAAAAAACAAGUUUUUCAAUAUCUGACCAAGUGUAUUUAAUAUUCAAUUAAUUAAAACGUGUGUCCGUUUAUUUGUGAAAAUUUCUCAAAUAUUACGUAUUUACUACUUGCUAAAUUAUAUGUAAUCUGAAAAUAACACUUCUUAUUAUUUGAAGUAUAGAGAAAAAACAAAUUGCGAAUUAAUAAUUAAUUGUAAUUACAUUAUAAUUGUCUUAUAAUUUAGUGAUAUCGACAAGAGUAUUUCUUCAUGCAACAAUGUCAAUUCUCACUAUCUUCCCCCCCUCCACACACCUUCUUUGAUUACCAUAUUAUUUUUUGCUGAUAUUCUUCGUAUAACUUUUUAUUAUUGUAUUUUUCUUUAUUUACACACUUAAUUUCUUAUAUGCGUUACUUAGAUCUGCCAUCGAAAACAACAUUACUAUCUGUCACAAACAGGGGCGGACCUACAGUGGUUCAAGUGGGUUCAUAUGAACCCACUUCGUUGAAAAAUAACACUGUAUAUAUAUGUAUAUUUAAUCAGUUUUUAAAAUUUUAUAUGUAUAUAUUAAAUUUUGAACCCACUAACACAAGUUGAAGCUUAGCCGAGUGGCAGAGGGGGUUCAAUUUUCCCAGCCAACCCGGGAUCGAAUCCCUAUAGCCACAUUUCAGUUUUAAUUCGUUUUUUUUAUAUAUAAAACAUUCACACACAAUUUUGUCCUAAGUAACUUUUGUCCUUUUAGUUACUUAGGAACUAUAAAAAGUAGAACAACUUUUUACUUUUACAUUUAAAGUCCAAUAGUCAACAACUUUUGUCCUUUUUGUUUUUAGUUUUUUUUUUUUAUAAAAAAAAAAACUCAACUAAAAAGGCACUAAUCCCUAUUAUUUUCAAUUCUAAAAAUCUUUUUAUCUUCUUCUUUGUUGAAAUCUUCUUGAACCUCUCUUACUUUUCCCCCCAAAAUUUUGAGCAUAUUUUUUUGUUGAAGGAAAAAAACUCUCCCCAUCUCUCAACUUGAACCUCUCUUAUUUAUUUUUUAUAUCUUGAACCCACUUCGUGAAAAUCCUGGGUCCGCCACUGGUCACAAAGCAUAAAAUCGUGUAUUUUCUCACUAAUAAAAAUACAGUGAUAUUUAUCGUUUCUCGAAUAUUCCUAAUAACUUGUCUCGGAUAGCUUGUGAGGUUGACUCGUUGUAAAAGAGUUCACAAGCAUCAUGUUGAAACUAUAAAUAUUGUAUAUUUAUUGUAUUUUAAUUAAUAUAACUUAUACUAAAGUUAGAUGCAUUAGCCUUGGUAUUUCAUAAACAUAUUCUUUGCUUAGAUAAUAAUAUAUAUUGUGCUGUAAUUUUUUUUAUUUCUUUUUCACAUUUUAGAUAAGAAUAUUUUUUUAUUAGAUAUUUUUUUAUGUAUUUAAAAAUAGCUAAUUAUUGAAUGAUAUUGAAUUAACAACUAAAACUUGAUUAACGAUCCAAAAGUAUCCAUUUGUCAAUUUCUCCUCCUCAAAUAUCUCCAUUUUUUCCAAAUUGGGUCCAUAACUAUCAUUUUCUUAAUACAUUGAAAAUGCCAUUUUUUAAAAUUUUAUUUUCACUUUAACCAUUUAAUUACAUUUUUUUUUAAAAAAAAAAGAAAGAAGAAGAAGUCAAAGUACAGAUAUGGCAGCCACAACUCCACGUGAACACUUUAAUUAUAAAGCUUUAUUUAUUAAAAUUUCAAUUCUUACUCCUUCGUCCCCAUUUUAAUUCAUUUCACGUCUAUUAAAAAAAUAUAAUAAAAAAAAAUAUAAUUUAUUAAAUUAUCUCUAUUUAUCAGAUGUUUUCGAGAUUUGAGCUCUAGCAAAAAAAUAUUUUUUCAAAAUUAAAAACAACUCUUAUUUUGAGGAGUACUAAUUUUUUCUAAAAUGAUAUUUUAGAAUGGAAAAAUUCUUUUGAUCAGAAUAAUAUUUGACCUAUGUUAUUUUAUUUUUUAAAACAUUUUUAGAAUAAUUUAUUCUCUUUAUUUCUUGGGAAGCAACACUUAUAUUAGAACAAGUAGAAUAUUUUUUUAAUUAGAAUUUUCACAAAUUAUUUUCAGUCAAGCUUUGGGAUUGAGAAUUACAAAGUCCAAAAAAGAUACUUUUAACUUAUAAAGUAUUUUGUUUCACAAUAAAUUAGAGAUUUCAAGUUCGAGCUUGAAAUACAUAGAACAUUUUAUUAGAAACGUCAACUCAAAAUAGGUCCUACAAUACAUAAUCAUAAAUUUAAUUGAGACUUCGAACCCCGAGCGGAAAAAAAAGAACUUGGAUAAUACUCCUACUUUUCAUCACUCAAAAUUUACGAAAGUUUCCUCCUUUCAUGUUCCAACACUCCACAACUUGAGUUUUUUCUUCUUGAAACUCUUCACAUGUCCAUUUUUUCCUCAAUAAAAUCCCAUAGUCUUCACAGAAAAUCAUUUAGAAGAGCUUAAUUUGAUGGGAAUUUAAAAGGGUUAUCUUGAAAUACUUUAAUUUCUUAUAAACUUGAAAAACUGUAUAAGCUCAAAGGUGACAUUUUUAUCUUGUCAUAAGCAAGAAAGUUCAAAAUGUUGCCUAAAGAACCAUCAUUUUGUAUAUAUAAUACAGAGGAUGGGGUUGAUGAAUUAAAGGAAAAUCAAGAUUUGGUUAGGUCUGUGACAAUAGGGGAUAUUAUAUCAGAUAUAGGUAGUAGUGAUUUCAGUUUUGGGAAAAAGGGAAUGGGGUUGAUUGAGGAAGAUGAGAAUGAAGAUGGGGGAAAAAGGGUUUUUUAUGAGGUUAAUGAGCUAGGAUUUGAAGAGAGUGAACCUGUAAUUAGUUCAAAGUACCUUGGUGGGGUUGAGUCUGAACCUUUAGAUUUUGAUGGAAAUGGAGAUGUUGAGGAAUAUUAUAAAAGGGUUCUUAAAGAAGAUCCAUCUAACCCUUUGUUUUUGAGGAAUUAUGCUCAACUUUUGCAGGUCAGUCUUUGUGUCCUGUUCCUUUCAGAAAGCAUUUUUCUCUUUCUAUUUCACAUUACUUUAUUGUGGUUACUGCUCAUAUUCCCUUUUUCAAUUGCUUAGAAAUGCUUUCGGAAACAACCUCUUUAUCUCUGUGAGGUAGGGGAAAGGUUGGUGUACUCUAUAUCCUCCCCAGACCCCGUUUGUGUGAUUACAAUGGGUAUGCUGUUGUUGUCGUUGUGUUUUUUUAGUAUUUGAUGACAUGAGUUGAGCUUAAACUAGAGAAACAUGGUCAGUGAGGAUUCAUAUAGCAGACCAUAACUUGUUUGGGAUUGAGGUCAUAGUUGUUGUAUACAUGUUUGAUCCUCAUUGUAAGUCCUUGAAAGAUUGUAGGAUUGCGAAAGUUAGUUUCUUGUGAGUUCUAUAACUGCAAAGUUGGAAUUCUAAACAUGGUCAGUGAGGAUUCAUAUAGGCGACCAUAAUUUGUUCGGGAUUGAGAUCGUAGUUGCUGUUGUAUACAUGUUUGAUUCUCAUUGUAAGUCCUUAGGAGAUUCUAGGAUUGUGAAAAGUAAAUUUCUUGUGAGUUAUAUAGCUGCAAAGUUAAGAUUCUAAACAUGGUCAGUGAGGAUUCAUAUAGGCGACCAUAAUUUGUUCGGGAUUGAGAUCGUAGUUGCUGUUGUAUACAUGUUUGAUUCUCAUUGUAAGUCCUUAGGAGAUUCUAGGAUUGUGAAGAGUAAAUUUCUUGUGAGUUAUAUAGCUGCAAAGUUGGAAUUCUAAACAUGGUCAGUGAGGAUUCAUAUAGCGGACCGUAACUGAUUGGUAUAUAGGUCAUAGUUGUUGUUGCUGUUGUAUACUUGUUUGAUUCUCUUUGCAAGUCCUUUACAGAUUCUAGGAUUGCGGCAAGUAAGUUUCUUGUGAGUUCUAUAGCUGCAAAGUUGGAAUUAUAAUUGUGGAACUAAAGUCGCCUCUGUGAAUUUGAUCUCAUCUUUGGCUUCUUGCUCUUGCUGUUAAGUUGCCCCUUGAUAAAAUAAACUAGUUGGAUAAGUAUAUCAGGAUAGUAAUAGUGGUUUGAAUAACUUUCAACAAAUUAGAAUCUAAUUUGGAACCUUUUAUAAUCAGUUCACUCAUUUUAAAUAUCUUCUACUAAGUAUGGAUUAGCAGUUGCAUAACCAAGUCACAAAAAGGGAAGUAAGUGAGAAGACUCUUCUUUCAUGAUGUUCUAGCAAUGCCAAUGUACGUCAACAAUAAAUUUACUAGUGGUUUGAAAUGUAAAAUCAUACAAUAGUAACUGAUUCAAAUGCUAUUCUGUUCUUCCUAAUAGAUACUUCGGAAAUCUGGUCAUUAUAAAUUUUCUGAUUCUUUGGCUGGAAAAGCACACAAUAUUACAUGCUUUAGAUGCUAUGUGGUUUUAGAUAUUUCUCCAUCUUUAUUUUUAUUUUCUUCAGAUCUAGUCCAAUCUUGAUUCUGUUUUUGUGGCGACAACUUUUUCUUCAUGUAACCCACUGUAUUCUGGUCUAUAGUCUAAGGGAGAUCUUUGUGGAGCUGAACACUAUUACUUUCAAGCUACACUAGCUGAUCCAAAAGAUGGAGAUACCUUGUCACAGUAUGCUAAAUUAGUAUGGGAGCUGCACCAAGAUAAAGAUAGAGCAUCAGAUUACUUUGAACGUGCAGUUCGUGCUGCUCCUGAGAACAGGUUAUACUUGACUUGCACCUUUCAUCGAAAUGAGAGAAUGAGUAAUUGGUUCAAUUAGAUAUUGAUUUACAAAACCUGGGCAUGUGAAGAAACUAUUAGUCUCCUCUCCUCAUCUUCUCCUUUUUAGUAGUAUUUGUGUAGUAUCUUAGUCUUAAAUUUUUACUACUGCAGCUUCUUUGCUUUGUUCAUCUUGCUAUUUUGUUGUUAUUUUUUCUUACAAUCGUGCUUUGAUUAAAAUUCUUUUGAGCUGAGGGUCUACGGAAACAGCCUCUCUAUCCCACCAAGGUGGGGGUAAGGUUUGGGUACAUCUUACCCUGCCCAAACCCCACUUGUAGAAUUACACCGGAUAUGUUGUUUUUUUGGUAAUAACAUGUGAAACCGGAUAUGAUGUUGUUGUUGAAAUCUAUUAUUGUUUCCAGUCAUGUUCUUGGAGCAUAUGCUAGUUUCCUCUGGGACAUCAAUGACGAUGAAAGUGAGGAUGAAAUGAACACACAGAGUGAUAAGACUAAGGUUUCUUCCAUUCGUUCUGCCUCAACGAGUAUAUAUGUGUGAACUCUGUUUGACUUAAAGUUUCUUCUGGAUGUGUCAGAUUGAGGAAAGUGGGGAAGCUACUGUAUCCCGGAACUUAGAUUACGAAGAAGCUAACAGACCUGUUAGUCCUCCCUUACAUCUUGCAGCAGGAUUAGGAAUUGGGGUUAAUCUAGUUGGUGGUGGCUCUCCUGUUGAUUAUACUGCAGCUGUAUCUGAUAUGGACAGAAAUGCCGAGGAGGAGUACAUGAGAAUGAUCAAAGAAAAUCCUCAUAACCCCGUGCUUUUAAGAAACUAUGCUCAGUUUCUUAGUCAGGUGAAUGUUUCAUAUCUUCUGCACUAAAUGUUCUUUAUUAACAUGUAUAUCAUCCAUCAUAUGCUUACAACAAUGCCCAUUUGAUAUCUAUAUAUUAUCUUGAUUUAGAAAUGUGUGAUUGUCCGAAGCUGCAACCAUCGAUACAGUCGUUCUCCUCAAGUGUCUGAGAUGUCUCAAGCUCCCUCCCUAAUAUGCUUUUUAAGAUUUCAACCCUUUCUUUAAAUUGUACAAAAGAACUGCCGGUCAUCCUAAUUCAGUAGGAUUGGGAUGGAGAAAUAUAAAUGCAUGCUCAAAUAUGAAAUUUUCUUGAACAUUAUGUCAUUCCAUUCACAAGAUCUUUACAAUAGCUACGACAGUUUAUCGUUUACUUAUCAGAACGCAACCAAAAACAAGAAAAGCUAUCUCCGUUCAUUGGUGCUUACAUAUAAUAAUAUCAACUGGUCUUGCUACUUCUGACAUUUCUCAUGUUUGCUGUUGGACUGACAGUCUAAGGGAGACCUACUAGGUGCUGAAGAAUAUUACUCACGCGCAAUACUAGCGGAUCCUACUGAUGGAGAAACUAUUUCACAGUAUGCCAUGUUGAUAUGGCAACUUCAUCGGGAUAAAGAUAAAGCCUCAACCUACUUUAAGAGGGCAGUUCAAGCUUCUCCAGAAGACGGGUAAUAUUGAAUUGAAGCCCCUCAUUUUUUUAUUCGCAACAUUUAGAAUUAAAAGUAAUAGCGGUAACUUAAUAACCUAAGCACAUUUCCUACUUCGUCAGUUACUAAGACGGUUUAACAGAUUUAUGUGAUGUGUAAAGGAAAUCUGCUACUAUUUGAUAGCAUUGAAAAGGUUAAUGAGAAAAGAUACAAAUAUAAGGUUGUUGGUAACUUGGUAUUAUGCGAAUGUAUUGGUGGGAAAAUAUUAAAAUUUUUGGUGAUCUUUGGUAUGAUGUCAAAUCAUUUGUGCGUUGCGUUUAAAUUAGAAAUUGUGUGGUUGCUACUUGCACAUCUAGUUCAUUGUUCUCAUUGUUUGGGACUCUGAGUUACUAGCUUGCUUUUUUGCUUUUCAGCGACGUGCUUGCUGCAUAUGCUAGAUUUCUCUGGCAAACGGAGGAAGAUGAAGACGGAGAAGAAGAUGAAACAUUAGGUGAUCACAACGGUGCACCACCUUUGCAAGGAGUCAUGGCUGCAAAUGCCUAAAUCCUGAUGUCAAAUGAAUUCACAAUCCAGCUUCCAAUUCUUAAUUUAAUUUUAGUUUCUCAAGCUUUUCGCGUUAUCUAAAGACUUGGAGCUUUCUCUUGUUGUGGAGGAUCAAGCAUUGUGGGAAAUUUUUUAAAUGGUAAAUGUUGUUUAGUGAGCAAUAAAAUGUGAACACUAAUGUUAAAUUGACCUUGUACAAUGUUCUUUAUGGGAAUAAUAUGAAGAAGUUGAUUAAAAAUUUAAAUGGAGACUUCACAUUGUAAUAAUAUAUUGUUAGUUCCUCUACUUUAGUUUACAGAUCUACGACCUUCGUAAAUUACAACAUAAUUCCUCUAUGGUUUGACAUGCUGUUUUAUGUCUUAAUAAUGAGUCUCAAUGGGGCUAGACAAAGGCAUGAUCUAAUGAUCAAUGAAGUUGAAUCGAGAAACAUGAUUUAUCUAGUUAGAAUAUUAGAAGAUGCAUAAAAGUUAUUAUGAACUGGACACUUCGCAAAUUGUUUUUUCUACUUAGACAUUUUUAAGAGACUUGUUAUCCACAGGAUACCUGAGAAGUCAUUUUUAAGAGACUUGUUAUCCACAGGAUACCUGCUAUCUCCCACAAGCACAAGUAUCGUAUAAUUCUGUCCACCAAGGACUUACAAUGCUUCUCAAGGGCCAAUGCAAAUGAUAUCUUUGAACACUAUAAUAAAUCUGUUUCCCAAAGUGCUCCAACAGUAGCACAUGUACUCAUUUCCUUGCAAAGAUAAGUUGAAGAAAAUUUCAAACCACACCACACUAGCAUAAAGACAGACCCGCACCGCCUCGCCCCAUUGACAUUCCCUAUUUAUAGUUUGUGCCAAUACUGGAGAGGUUCAUGCUGGAGAGAGCAUGUAUGCAACAAUCAGUUAAAAAGGAAAAGAUCAAAUGAGAAACUUGCGCAAAAUAUCGACUAGCAGACCAAAACUGCAUUAAUAAUCCUUUUCAGUAAAAGCCUAUUCAUGUACGGAAAAAGCAACACUUGCUAUUUCUGCCAAAAAAUUAUAUGAAUUUGGGAUGCUUUCUUCCACAAAUCUAAAUUUUGAUGCUUCUCAAAGUAUACUAAUGUUUGGAGAACUAUGAAGACGAAAAAGCUGUUGGCAACAUGGCUUGUACUGAAGGGGUAUUGUCUGUCCUUCAUGAAUUCAACUUCAGCUUAUUCCCAUGAGUACUGCUCAUUUCUCAAGCUUUGCUGAUUGCUAGGGUAAGCUCUUUCUUGCCGAGGAGCUUGUCUAUAGUAACCAUUUCCCCUUGAUCUGCCAUAGUCACGGUCACCUCCGUCUUGACCACCUCUCCCAAAACCACGGCCACCAUAGCGCCCCCUUCCGUCCAUGGAGUAGCUAACUCUGCCUCUACCCCUUCCUCCUGUGUCCACAUUUUAAAGACAAACAAAAUGAAACUUAAUAUUUUUAGGAUGCAGAGAAAAAAAUAAUAAUUUCAGGACUUCAAAAAUUAAGUUAAGAAAUGUAUGAAGCAGUAAGCUUUCAGACAAGGAACAGGCUUAGCAAACUGAUACCUAUACACAGUUCUAUUUUGGCUAUUACAAGCACACAGAAAUCAAAUAAUAAGCCUUAUUUACCUGAAGUAUUAAAGAAGGCCACUUGUUAUUUACUACUAAAUUCCAAUGAUACCAGCAUAAUGAUUUGUUUUGAGACUAAUACCAUGGUCAAGAUGUGGGAGCCAAAUAUUUACAUCAGUUGCAGCCUCACAAGAAUGCAAGACAACUGGUGUAAUUAUAGUGCCCACUGAUUAUUCUCUACUUCCUGCUUUUCAUUAUUCAUCUUGAAAAUAAGUAUUGCAAGUAGAUCCAACAAAGUACUCCCUCUGUCCCAAUUUGUAUUGACUUACUUAUCUUUAUAGUCAGUUUCAAAAAGAAUAAACACAUUUUUAUAUUUAGUAAAACAAUUUGGUUUUUAGUCACACAAAUAUAUAACUUAUUUUAAACCACGAGUUUGAAGAGUCUUUUUUUCUUAAACUUCAAGACAAGUCAAACUAACUCACAUAAAUUGGAACGGAGGGAGUAGAUUAGUUCACUGUUCAUUUUAUACUGAACUUUUUUUUAUGAUAACACAGCUCUCUCCAGAGUUAAAACUUUCCUCCGAGAAUUUUUUUUUUUAUGAGGACGGGUUGGUUGAUCCACUUAUCUUUUGCAUCCCUUAUCUUCCACCAAGUAGGAAUCUCAAGUCAAUGACAUAACACUUGACAAAACAAAAGUAGAAAAGGUGUCCUGCCUGCCUUCGUGUCAUGUCAUUGACCUUGAUUCCUACUUGGUGCAAGAUAAGAGAUGUAAAUUGCUAAAGAUGUGCCUAGUGAUCACCUAGUAGAAAAAUAUAAUGCUUAGGAGAUCUUAGAAAGAAACAAGAAAGAAUUUAGCUUGAAGAUGUGCUUGUUUCUGUGAAUGAGAAAUGCAAUAGCUUAUUUAUUGACCUACAAUUGAGAAGAUAAAACCACUUACUUCCUCGAAUUAAGUUGUUUCUGUUCGGUCUCCUCCCUUCAAUGUACAACUGGUGUCCACCAAUCUGAACAGUAGAUGCCUGCAACAAAGAUUACAUAGAUUUCAGUACCUACUCUGAAUGUAAAUGCAGUAAUUAGUCUUAGCUGAAGGUAUCACUAACAAUUCAAUGAAGGCGAGAUAAAUAGAUCGAAAAAGAACAUAUUCACAACUCCCACAUUACUUUACAUGGAAUACUUCGAAUUUGUGCCAGUUUAUUACUUCAUUUGACCGCAUACAUAAAAUAUAGCAUCAUUCUCAAUUACUCAAAUAACAAACCUCAAUUGCAUUGAAACUUUAACACAAAAAGUAUAAUUAAAGAUGGCUCAAAAUUUUGAAAUGUCAGUUCAAACCUCAAUUGCAUUCUGAACCCCAGUUACAUCUUCAAAUUCGACAAAUGCAUAGCAUACAUCAAUGUCCUGCAUCACAUCAAAUUCCAGAUGAACUUAUUAUUGACCUAAUCUAGAUUCAAGAGUAUAGGGCAAAAGAAAGAUGAUAUAACAAACCUUUCGCGUUCUAAUGGCAACAGCAUCAGGCUUUAAUUUACCAAACUUUUUGAAUUCCUCCUCAAUUUCAUAAGCAGCCAUUGUGGUAGGCACAUUUUUGACAUAUACAGACUUAACUUCAACUGCAAAAAGUUCAAAAAGGAAAAUCAUGAAAGCAUAUCACUCAAAUGAGGUCCCUUUAAAAAUAAUACACAUCCCUGAGAAGACAGGAUGAGUACAUUAUGCCAAAGUACAAGAAACUUACCUUCAUCUUCAACAGCUGAAGCCUCAUCUGUUGCCUCAGUAUACCUCUCAAUAGUAUUAGUCGAAUGAACUGAUGGCAGAGCAGGAGGCUCUGGCACAUGUUGCCACUCUGAAGGAGGAGGUGUAAGUUUGUUGAGAGAAGACUGGGCCAGUCCUCCUUGUGCAGAAUUCCCUUUAGUAACUUGUAGCUUCCAAAUUAGAAUCAACCAAAUAAAAUUAGUUGAUCACAAAAGCGUACUCAAGACAAUAUGAGAAUGUAACGAUAAGGAGAAGGUAAAGGCAAAGGUCAUGGCAUACAAUAGAAGCAUAAGUAUGCUUUUGGGGUUCUGCAACAGGUUCCUCAACAGGGCAGGAUAAAUGGUCUUGUACUGCAUUAAUUGUACUCUGAAGUGGGCCGUUUGAUUGCACCGCAAAAUUAUCUUCAAGGAUAUUCUCGGCUUCGGGGACAUGCUGAAGCCGUUCCUCCGGAAAACUAUAGUUAUUGACAGGUCCGUUAUCUUCAAUUUUAGGAGCAUCAGCGAACUCCCUUGCUUGGAUUUCUCCACCAAACAUGUAGUUGGGCACUGCAGAAACCAUCAUUAAUUCUUUACAUAUGCACAUUCUCUUGUCUCAUAAUAUUGCAGCAUUAGCAUGCAGAAUUACAGAGAAAAUGUAUCCCAAGUUUUCUUUCAGAAGAAUUGACAUUCAAGUACAUAAUUUCCUCUCACCAAUUUAUAGCACAUCACUUAAACUUCUUCUCACCAGAAAAAAAAAGUAUGAACAAAGGGAAAAUAGUGAGCUUCAGCAGUUGAAGCUACUAGAAAUAUUCUCCCUACAUUACCCCUACCUGUGUGGGGUAGAUCCUCCAAGAAAAAAAGUAAGAAAGGAGAAUGCCAUAAUCAUUACAGCAAUGAUUUUAAAAAAAAAAAAAACAGAGUAAUAUUUUUUUUUAGGAUAGUAAAUCUUAAAAAAACAGAGUAAUAUGAAACAAAAAGAAGUAAGAGACCUCCCCCCCCCCCCCCCAAAAAAAAAAAAAAAAAAAANNNNNNNNNNNNNNNNNNNNNNNNNNNNNNNNNNNNNNNNNNNNNNNNNNNNNNNNNNNNNNNNNNNNNNNNNNNNNNNNNNNNNNNNNNNNNNNNNNNNNNNNNNNNNNNNNNNNNNNNNNNNNNNNNNNNNNNNNNNNNNNNNNNNNNNNNNNNNNNNNNNNNNNNNNNNNNNNNNNNNNNNNNNNNNNNNNNNNNNNNNNNNNNNNNNNNNNNNNNNNNNNNNNNNNNNNNNNNNNNNNNNNNNNNNNNNNNNNNNNNNNNNNNNNNNNNNNNNNNNNNNNNNNNNNNNNNNNNNNNNNNNNNNNNNNNNNNNNNNNNNNNNNNNNNNNNNNNNNNNNNNNNNNNNNNNNNNNNNNNNNNNNNNNNNNNNNNNNNNNNNNNNNNNNNNNNNNNNNNNNNNNNNNNNNNNNNNNNNNNNNNNNNAAGCCCCCCCCCCCCCCCCACCAAAAAUAAAUAAAAAUGAAAAAUCAGAUCUUAUCUAAGGAUGAAAACCUUUAAGAUUGAACUCAUACCUUGCUCCUGAAGUGCAUGGGAAGCAUUCAGCUUGGAAUCAAGGUUAGUAUGUGCUAGAUAGGCUAAUGGUUGCUGAAGAAUUUGCUCCUCAUCAACAUAGUGAAAGAUAUCAUUGAGGACAAAGUAUCCUUUUUCCUGGGGUGCAAGGAAAAAUGAUUGUACAAACUUCCUACUCCUGUUGAUACCUUUCACAUUGACAGAACCUGAAACCAUCACAAGGACACCACCAUUCCAUGAUUCCAAGGAAUGGAGCGUUUUUAUCUCUAUUCCAGUGUACUGGAGUGACAUGACAAGGGUGUGAAUUUGCUGCAGAACACAGAAAGAGCAAUGAAAAAAAGUAGUAGAAUGAUUAAUAUUGGGGGCUAAAGGAGCAAUACACAUCAUGAACCAUGAUUAUUAGUUAGUUGAGAAUAACAGAAGUUUUAUUAUAUUGGAAUAGUACUAAUUAUAGAAGUUGUUCAAAGAUAAAAUCUCCCUCUUUUGUGACUUAGAAAUCUUUUACUUUUUUUUUUUUGAUAACCGAGAAAUCCGUCUGUGACCCGCCCUUUGGACCAAUCACAGCCUUCUAAACUCGGUGGAUAAUGGGCCCGCCCCUCUACCCUUCUCCACUUAAAUACCGGGCUUCGCUUUGCAUGGUGUGGGGCUUGAACCUGCGACCUAAGCCACAAAUUCUCCACCUUUUACUUUUAUUAGUAUAUUAAAGCAUGCAAGUAUCAACUCACAGGUAGUAAUCAUUUUUUUUAAAUAAAGUAACCCAUUGGUAGUUAUGAUACUAAAAAGGAACUUGCGACAGCAGCAAAAUAAGAAGCUCCUCUGAUGGAAGUGCAUGCCUUGGGGAACUUGACACUCUUUCAGGUUUCAACUUCUAGCGGACAGAGAAAAAACAUUAAUACAGCUGACUGGGGAGACAGAGAACUUGAUGGACAAGCUUCAAUUUUUGUUUUUCAGAAAAAAUAACGUUUAACCUAAAAAUCUAGAACAUGGAUGCUAAGGCUGCACUCAUAUGAUAUUUUUCCAUAUUAGGUGCUCUGUUUUAGAACAGGACUACAUCAUAGAAAAAUUCAAAACUAAUCUAGAACGUAUGGACAUCAUAUAGAUGACAUGACUGUAGACAUGAGGUUCCAGUUAAGGACAUGCAUCUAGCAAGAGCGACCAAUCAUUGGUUAGCCAAUUAUAACCACUUAAUUUAGAAAUAACUUCACAGAAGAUUUUGCUCAUAAGGAAGUUAGACAAGGAACUUAAGAUAAAAUACCAGCAUUCCUGAAGCAGUCUCUCUGGUGCUGGAAUCAAUUCGAAGCACGGUACUAGCAUCACUGUAGAACUGGUGAACAAAAUCCGGUUGGGUCUGCAACAUCUGAUAAUACUGGCCCACAAAGUAUGUCCCCACCUGAAUCAUUACCCAAAACCGCAGAAAGAUGAAAUUCAAAUCCCAGACGUUAAAUAUCAAUCAAUCAAUCAACACUUCAAUCCUAAAUUAGUUGGGAUCGGCAAUAUGAGUUCUUUAUAUAUUCCCCUCUAUUUAGACUCAUUUCAUUGUAACACUUAUAAGUAAUUUGACUUCUAAAGAAAAAGAAGGGUUCUAUACGGAAUAAAGGAUCUCUAACCUAAUCUAAUGUAAGUGAAGUGAUAACAACUAACCUAAAUAGGUUAGUCCUAAUUACUACAUAGCUAAUAGUUUUUUGGAUCAUUUAUCCUUAACUAGCUGGUAGUGUCUAUAUAUAUCGUUUGUUUCUAUUGUGCUAUAUGCUUAAUUAAGUUUGCAUUGAUUACUAGAUUCAGAAGCUCUUUUCUCAGAAAACCUGUCCCCAUUUAGGACAUUUAAUCACUACACCAUCACAACUACAUACAUAUGCAUUUAUAGGGAAAUAAACACCAAAAAAAAGUUUCCUCUAGUAGUUCCUAUAUCUCUUAAAACUGAAUAUACACACGCAUAUCCAUAAAGACUUUUUCUUGAAACAGGUAACAUCAUAUACAUAAAAAGUUCAUCUUUAUACUACAGAACUGUUUUUUGGAACGAAAGAUUUCAGCUUUACACUAAAAAAAAUUUACAUUUCCAAAUCACUUAAUACCCAAUUCGACACGGUAAGGUAACUAGCAAAACAGGGUAAAUGACCAUGGCCAGAAACCAGGUAAGGCAAAGGGGUUUCAUCCAAAAAUCCAUUCAUAUAUAUAACCACAGAUAUAAAAAAAAAAAAGCAUUCCUCGCUCCAUUUACAAAUGACUAAACAGACGUGGAAGAAACAGCAAAAACACAAGUUUGCCCUCACAUUUCUACUCAACUUCUCUGUAAAUGACUUACACAAACAAGGAAUAAACGGAUAAAGACUCUUUUUUAUAGCAGAAGAGAUACCUGAGCAGCAGUGACUGGCAAGUGAAAAGGCGUCGCCAUUUCGUAAAACCCGGUGGCGGCGGCAGCAGCUUAAGCAGCGGUAGAAAUGAACUCGUCAAUCCAAUUAGAAUGAGAAUCUAAAAAACCUAGAUCUAACAAAAGAUCUAAAAUCCCCAAAAAAAACCCUAGAUUUUCAGCAUUCACAUUUGCGCCGCAAGCAAAAAAGCAGCAACAGAGUUUUCUCCCAUCACUCCACAAACAGUGAAUAGCACUUAAUUCGCUCGUCACUGACUCUUCAAUUUCUAGAGAGAGAAAAUGGAGUGACCGCUUGAGACCACUGGUUUUAGAGAGAGAAAGAGUGAGAGCUGCUGAAAUUUAUAGGCUUUUUUUUUCCCUCGUUAGAAGUAAGGUGCUGCUGCCUGUGUUUUUGGGACGGUGGCGCUGCUUUUUUAUUGGUUGAGUGAAUGUCCGCUUGUUAUCCACCGUUGAUUUAGACCUCAUGAUAGGGCUUUUUCUUUUUUAUUUGCUUAGAAUUAUCUACUAGUUAGUGUGAAUGUUUUCCAUGGAACAUGUUUGGUACGAAUAAAAAUGUGUUCUUGAACAAUAAGUUGUUUAUAACUUAUUUUUUUAUAUUUGGUUGGUGAGCGAAAAAUAUAAUUGAUGAAUGAAUUAUUUUUUUAGAAAAUAUCUAUUAAUUUUUUGCUAGAGAGUAGAAUUUAUUUUUUUAGGAAAAUAGUUUCUGACCUGAAAAUCAACUCGAUAAUUGAUCUGGCACCCGACCCAAACACCUGAUAUGGGACCUUGACCCCUACUCUUGACACAGGACUCGAUUCGAACUGGACUCAAUUUUGACCAUGACCUGAAUUGGGACAUGAUCCUAAGAUCCAACCCAAGACCUAAUCUCGACUUUCGAUUUGGGACCCGACUUUCGAACUAGAAUAUGAUCUUAAGACUCGACCUAGACUCCCAAACCCCAACAUUCGACUUAAGAUCCAACUUUUGAAUCAGUAUUUGACCCUAGACCCGACACCUGACCACCAUUCGAGACCCAACCCGAUCUCGACCCUAACCCAAGACCUGACCCCAACCUUGACGCCCAACUCGAGACCCAACCCUAACCCUGAUUUGAGACCCCACCCCGACUUGAUACCCCAACUCUAACUCCGACACCCAACCUCAAUCCCGACCCUAAUUUUGUAAAUUUAUUAGUAAGGCAAGAUAUGACUAAUAUAUAGCGUGAAGUGUCCUGUGAUAAAUUAAUAUUUUUUUUUUUGUAAAGUAAAUAGAGGGUGAGGUAGGGAAGGAAGGGAGGAGAUAAGACGAUCAGUGAUCGUAGUUUUGUUAAAUCACAAUGAUCAUAUACAUUUAUUAACAAGAAAUUAUUAGCACCAAGCAAGAUGUGACUACAAUUUAUAGGGGUGAUUAGGGGUGUAUAAAACCGAACCGAGAACCGAACCAAACCGCAAACCGAGUCAACCCGAAAAAAAAACCCGACUAGUGGUUUGGUUUGACUUGGUUUGGUUUUGAAAAAAAAAACCCGACUAUAUUUGGGUUGGUUUGGUUUUAACUAAAAAAAACCAACCCGAGACCAAACCAACCCGAAUUUAUAUAUAUAAUUUUAAAAUUUUAUUUUAUACAUAAAAAUAUUUACUUUGAUAUAAUUUUUAAAUAUUUCUUAUACUUGUCCAUAGUUUUUAUCUUUUAAUAUAUUAUUUCAAGUUUGAAACUUAGAANNNNNNNNNNNNNNNNNNNNNNNNNNNNNNNNNNNNNNNNNNNNNNNNNNNNNNNNNNNNNNNNNNNNNNNNNNNNNNNNNNNNNNNNNNNNNNNNNNNNNNNNNNNNNNNNNNNNNNNNNNNNNNNNNNNNNNNNNNNNNNNNNNNNNNNNNNNNNNNNNNNNNNNNNNNNNNNNNNNNNNNNNNNNNNNNNNNNNNNNNNNNNNNNNNNNNNNNNNNNNNNNNGAUUUCAUUAUUAUUAUUUUUGUUGGAUAUUUUAGUGUCAUUAAUCAUAUCAUAUUGUGUUAUAUUUUUAAGAAACAUCUUAGAUAGUUGUAUUUUGGUAGGACUAAAGAAAUAUUUGAAGUACAAGUAAAUUAUAUGUUGUGUAUGAAUACUUUACUGGAAAAACCCGAAACAACCCGAAAAACCGAAAAACCCGAAAAAACCCGAAAAAACCCGAGGUUGAAAAACCCGAGUUUUAUUGGUUUGGUUUGGUUCAUAAAUUUAAAAAUCCGACACAAAUGGUUUGGUUUGAUAUUUGAAAAACCCGAACCAACCCGGCCGUGUACACCCCUAGGGGUGAUAUACAAACGACUUAAAUGAAGUGAUGAUAGAUGAGUUAAAAUUUAAUUUUUGAAAGUAUUUAAGGUGUAAGGCAAGUUGGGAAUUGAUUGUAGUAGGGGUGUGCAAAAAUUGAACCGACCAAUAAAUCGAAUCGAAAAAAUGUUAUUGGAUUAUUGGGUUUUUAAUGGGUUCAUAAAAAAAAGUUAUUGGGUUAUUGGGUAAACCGAUAACCCAAUAAGACGGUAAUAAUUUACUACUUUACCCUACCUAAAUAUUAGAUAUUAAUAAUUUAAUAUAUAACUAAACACUAUAAUUACAUGAAAUUAUUAUUACUCUACCCACUUCAGACUAGACUUGCUUUACUAGUCUUUACUGUUUACUCAAAACCUAAAAACUAAAGUAAGGGUUCACGAUUGUAGUUAUUUGAUUUUAGUUUUAGUUUAAGUCUUGUUGGACUAUUUGAUUUUAAUUUUAGUUUGUAAUUGUAGGUUGUAGCUUUUGCAAGUUUGUAAAGGUCUGUAACUUGAUUAACAUCAUAAGAAAUUCCACACUAUGUUUUGGCGUUGACAUGUAAUUAUAACCUUCAUACUAUAUUUUCUCUUAUUGAUGCAAUUUCUCAUUAUCUUUCUUAUUUCACUAUAUCAAAGCAUUUAGAGAAGUGAGAAGUCAUCUAAUAUUUUACAGACAUUUUCUUAUUGGAUAAACCGAAAACCGAACCGAUAACGACCAAAAAUUGAUAAACCGAAAACCGAUAAAAAAAUAUCUUACUGGUUUGUUAUUGGGUUAACAUAUUUAAAAACCGAAAAAUGAUGAACCGAAUCGAUAAUACAUAAAACCGAAUCGAACCGACCUAUGCACACCCCUAAUUGUAGUUCUUUGAAAUCACAUCAAUCAUAUACAUUUAUUAAUAAGAAAAUAUUAGAAGUAAAAUAUAGUACCGUGAAACAAGAAAUUACUUAAAUAAAAUGGUGGUGACUGACUUUUUUAAAAAGUAAAUAAAUAAAUACAUGGCAGAGCAGGGAAAUAAGAAGACGAGUAGGGAUGACAAUGAGACGGGACAGUUGUGGGGCGGGGCGAGUUUCAGUAUUUGCGGUACAGUGCGGGUUAGAGCUUUUGCGGAGCGGGGCGGGUACGCGGGUUGAAUAUUUCUUUUUUUUGUCGUGUGCCUUGAAAUUGAAAUCUUUCCAGCUAAAGUUUGUCAAUACUCAAGAGCCUUGAAAUUGAAAUUCCUAGCCAUUAUUGAUAAAUUUCUUUUAUCUCUAACUCCAAUUUUACAUACCCUUUUAGGUAAUCAUGCAAAUUCUUGAUUGUCUCUUUUUAUUAAUGGGGUAUGUAGUUUUUCUUAUUAUUUGAUCCCAAUUUAAUAUUAACUGAGGAUAAAUCUUAUAGAUUCAUUAUAUUUUACUAUUUAGGUUGUGGAAAAUAAUACAAAAUCACUUGGUUCCUUAUGUAUUUGAAUAUUAUUUUUGCUAUUUUCUACUUUGCAAUUAAUCUUCUUAAUAUUAUGCACAUGUUGUUGUUAAUACUUAUUUUAAACUAGUAGAUCAUAUUAAAUUUAAUGAAACUUGAUUUUAGGAAAUUUAAUGAAACUUGAUUUUAGGCAUAAAUUUGGACGUAUCUUAUAUUGAAAAGGCAAAAAGUCAUUCGUAUAGUGCAGGAACACUCAUAUCUUUUUUACGUACUCUUUCAUUUUUAUUUCAAACUUGGGCUCGCUCCAGGCUAUGGUAUGGACCUUUCUCGAACAAGGGAAGGGCAACAUAGCAUUAACUUCAAUUGAACAAGCUUAACCUUGAAAAGAAAAGAUUGUAGACCAGCUUUGAACGCUUUAACUUGGCCACUAAAGAAGGCGAAGAUUGGACGAGAGACUAGGCCAACUUACUACUAAGCUUUAGGCUCCAUAGUUGAAAAUAUAUUCCUAUUUACUUAGUAUAUUUCUACAAGAAACAGAUCCCAAGCAUUAUCUAGUGAAAUUGCUUGUACUAAUAAUAAGGCCACCAAUUAGUUUGAGUCAUUUAAUAGUUUUCUAAAAUAUGAUGAAAGGAACAAUUACAUUUCUCUCUAAAUCACAAAAUGAAGGAAAGAGAACAAAAGAAGAAGAAAGCUCAAUGUAUGGGGAUGUAAUUCAAAUAGUUACAUCUUCUUUUGACCUAGUUAAAGCCUUUUUAGCCAUCUUAAUCCAUGAACUAAAAUUGUUCUUCUAUAGAUGGCAAAUUUCAACUUUUACAACUAAUAUACAAAGAAUCUUGUCCCAUCUUAUUGUUUCUUCCCUUCUGCUAAGCUAACUCGCAAUGCCCUUCCAUCCAAUUCCUGAUAAAGACAUAUACAAAAGGGUAAAAUUGUAAGUAGUUCUUUCAUUUUUCUCAAGAAAUUGAAGUUUCGUGUAUCGAUGAUAUACAAUAUUUAUGCAAUCAUAUCACUUAUAAGGUAAUUUUAUGUAUAUAAUACACGAAGAUACACUCGAACUGAUUUGUAGAACAUGUAUGUCUACUUGUUUAACUUUAUACAAACCUACUAGUGCUCACCAAAGUUUGAGAGCAAGCAUAGAUGUCAGUUGAGACCAAGUUAAAUGAUACGUUUAUGUAUUAUAUCAAUAUAAAAUGUGUUUGGUUUUACACUAGAUAAGUUGGGAUUUCCAACUUUAACCUUAGAUAUUUUGAAGAACUUUAGUGAAGGGCAUUUAGGAUUGUUAUCCUACCGUGAAGGUGGUUAAAAGUAAUACCUCAAUUGUGGUAUAAAUAAUCCCAGGAUCGAUAAAUUAUACCUUAUCGCACAAACCAAACGACUUAUGACAUAAAUCCUUUCCCACAAAAUGAGCUGAACAAAUGAAAUGUUUCAAAAAGAGAGUCCAAGAAAUGCAUACCACUCCAUUGAGAUUGUUAAGAGCAUUCUCCAUUUCUUCUCUAGUCUCAAAGCUCACAAAACCGUAGCCACGUGAUCUCCCGGUCUCACCAUCAUAUAGUACCCUAGCUCCAACAACAGCUCCAUAUUCUUGAAAUGCUUGUGCCAAACUUUCAGAUGAGACUGACCACGCCAAAUUACCAACGAAGAGCUUGUGUUCUGUUUCAGGGUAAAGGGGUUCUUUUGGUUUAGGCUUGUCCGAGAAAUUCACCCUUAAGGUUCUGCCACCAUACUCCUGAAAUCAGUGAAUCUUGGUUUAGUUUUAUAGCCUCAGAUCAUCUCAACGUCAGAUAUAUUUCGUAAUAUUCAGAGAGGAAGCAAACAUGAUUCAUGAAAGGAAAUUGAAAUAACCACUUACUCUUCCAUCUAGAUUUUCGACGACUGUCUUGCAAUCUUCAAGAGAACUCAUUGUCACAAAAGCAAAUCCUCUGCUUUUACCUGUGUCCCUAUCAUAAAGAACCUGGAGAAAUUGGAUAAAUUAGCAUGUAAAAUACAUUUAGGACAUAUAUAGGAGGAAGAUUUUGGUUUUGAUUAGGAUGAAGUUCUUUUGUAGCAUUAAAAAGAUGGUUAAAUCGCAGCAUACAUGCUUUUAUAACGUUUUAAUUACGAGCGCAGUUCCACUUCAGGUCAAGUCAAUCCAAGCUUCAAACCUUCUUGCGCGCAAGUGAUCACCUUUGCUCUUGUUAUUUCAACUGUCUUUCACUUACCUAACUCAGUCAAAACGAAAAGUAACAUUUUCUAAAUACAAUUACAAUGUUCAAUUGCUAACUUUCAUAUUCAAGUUCCGGUUCAAAUACUAGUUACGUUUGGAACUUUUUCAUCAUCAACUUAUUCAUGAAGCAAUAGGGUGCACUUGUUGGCUCUGUUACAUGAAUUUGUAGACAAGUAUGUGUCUACGAGUAUGUGUAAGUAUAUGGAGAGGAACAUUCAUUUUUUGUUUUCUCUUUUAGUACAUCUCGAGGGAUUUUGACAACGCAUCCACCUCUUAUCACAUUUUCUCGACACAAAUACGUCAAGAUAUAUAAGUGAAGGAUCCACGUAACAUAGCUAAGGUGGUACGACAUACGCUCACAUUUUAGCACCUAUUUAUUCCACGAGUACUUAUUUUCCAUGAGAUAGUAGUCAAGAUCAUUAACGACUCUAUGUAAACACUGAAUGUGUCGAUGUGGUUCACAAAAUGGUAACACAAAAGCCAGAGCAUAGAUUGAACACCUUAAUCUACUUCAAGAAGCAACUAUAACACAAUAAUAUGUCGAAAUUCAAUCCUCAACUAAGCAAGUCACUAGAAAAUAUUUUUGUCUCUAAACAAUUCAGUAAGAAAAGGCAACUACUUUAGCUUUUCAUAUCCCUGAUAUACAUGCACCAUAUAUACAUAGGCAAACAACACAAAUCCCACUCAUUUAGAGCCUAAUUACGUGCCUUCCCAUGAGUUUUUGAUAUUACCAUUUGUACCAGAUUUUGGUCCCCACAUACAUUAUCUGGCGCACUCUCUCGAAUACAUAGAGUCAAAAUUCGAUGUAAUUUCUUCUACAUACAUUGUAUUCAAAUGGAUUCGCAUGUAUAUGAGAUACGAGAUGGAAUUGACUAUACGAAUACUCAUAUUUCACUCUAAUUCAAGCAAAAUGCAUACCUCAACAAGCUCAGGACUAGCAUAGUCUUGAACAAUCCCAGCAAGUUGUGCACUAUCACAAAGAUACGGCAAAUUCCCAAAAUAAAGCUUAGUAUUAACACCUUCACUUUCACUACUCCCAUCGAAACCCUCUCCUACCUUCUCCUCCUCCUCAUCCACCGCCGGCACCGGCACCUCUUCCUCCUCCUCCGUCACCGCCGCUUCCACCUCCUCUUGCACCACCGCAGCUGCCAGCCUCGGCAAUACCCUCCACUUCUUGUAAAUCGACGUCACUUCACUUGACGACGAUGAAAUUAAAGUUAGAUUUGGAGUUCUAGUUGAUGAAAUUUUAAGUAGAUGAUCGGAAUUAGUCCAAUUUAAUGUAGAACGUAUACAAUGAAGACUGGAAAACGAAGAAGCUACUGCUGUGGCAGNNNNNNNNNNNNNNNNNNNNNNNNNNNNNNNNNNNNNNNNNNNNNNNNNNNNNNNNNNNNNNNNNNNNNNNNNNNNNNNNNNNNNNNNNNNNNNNNNNNNNNNNNNNNNNNNNNNNNNNNNNNNNNNNNNNNNNNNNNNNNNNNNNNNNNNNNNNNNNNNNNNNNNNNNNNNNNNNNNNNNNNNNNNNNNNNNNNNNNNNNNNNNNNNNNNNNNNNNNNNNNNNNNNNNNNNNNNNNNNNNNNNNNNNNNNNNNNNNNNNNNNNNNNNNNNNNNNNNNNNNNNNNNNNNNNNNNNNNNNNNNNNNNNNNNNNNNNNNNNNNNNNNNNNNNNNNNNNNNNNNNNNNNNNNNNNNNNNNNNNNNNNNNNNNNNNNNNNNNNNNNNNNNNNNNNNNNNNNNNNNNNNNNNNNNNNNNNNNNNNNNNNNNNNNNNNNNNNNNNNNNNNNNNNNNNNNNNNNNNNNNNNNNNNNNNNNNNNNNCGAGAGGGCUGCUGCGGGGGCGGCGGCGGCCGCCAUGAUUUCGCUGGAAUUUCAAUUUUGAUCGGAGAUUUUAUUUUAGAUGGAGAAGUAUUAUUAGUGAAGAGAUGAGAAAAAAUGGAGGGAUAUUAUUAAUGAGUAUUUAAUUUUUUUUUGAGUGGUGAGGUGGAGAGAUGAAAUCCAAAGAGAUAGGAGAAAAUAUAGAUGAAGUGGAUAUUGUAUAUAAUUGAUAAGGUUUUUGGAUUAUUACUUUUUUUUUUCUUGUUUUAAUUGAAUUGAAACUCUUUUUUUUAUUGGCUAUGUUGGUAAUCUUUUUGUAAUGUUGGUGUUUUCUUAGCCACACAACAUGUUGCAAACUUUCUAGAAAGUGAAAUGAGAAACAAAAGUAAAACAUAUGUAAUCACGUAGAAAUAGGGAGACUGUUUUUGAAAAAUCUUUGAGUUUAGUAUAGUAGAUUAAAGUAGUUAUGAGAAGGAAAUACGAUAGUGAAGGGAAUAAAAGAUUGUAUCGAAUAUUCAGAAAAAAGGAAUAGUAAUAACAAGGAAAUAAUGUGAUAAUCGAAAUAUGAUAGACAAUAGAUGGUAACAUAUUUCAAAACAAAAAAACUACAUUUCUAAGAAAUGUUUGUCAUCGAUUGACAUCUAUUCUCCUAUCUAUAACUAAUCAGUGAGUUCGUUUUAGUAUAAAGUGAGUAAUAGUUUAACUAUGAAGCUCGUAAGAUGGUGAUGAUUUAGAUGAUAAAUGAAGGAUGUAAUAUAUAGAUUGUUCUUUUAACUUGACAUCAGUUGACAUCUAUGUCUUCCAACCGCACAAAUAGACAAUUAAACUUGUAUAAAGUUGAACAAUUAGAUAUGCACGUCCUAUAUGAUGUAAUACAUUAAGAUGCGAAUUGCCAAAAAACCCUGAACACAAAAUUAUCAAAUUGUAUGAGAAAAUGGCCUUGUUGAAUAAGUUCAAAAAAGUGUUUGAUGAAAUGCCUGAGAGAAACAAAGUCAUAUGUAAUGCAAUGAUUAGAAGGUAUUUUCAAAAUGGGAAUAUUGAGAAAGUUGUGUUUUGUAUAAUGAAAUGCCUUCUACUGAUUUGUUUUCUUAUAACACCAUGACUUCAGGCAGAAACGAAGUCAGAAUUUUAAUUUUAUGGAUUUUAAAUAUUUAAAAUAACUAUGUUAAGUGCUGAUAACUGGAUUCUAGAUUUGAAUUGAGUUAAGAAUCCAUGUUUGGGACAGUAUGAAAAAAAGAACUUCCUAUAUUAUACUAUUCAAUUCUCGACAACGAGCUGAUUUGAUAGUUUAGAUAAUGGUAUUCUUGAUAUUGAUCCAAUUUAAGAUAACCAAAAGAUAAUAUUCAUUCAUUUAAUUUACAGGCGAAAGAUUUAUUAUCUUCAUGAGAUUAAAUCCCGAUCGAGUUCAAAAGUUUAAGAAAUUAAGCCUUGUGCAUCAUAUCAUAUAUAUUGAACACCACAUUUUAUGUUUGGUACAAACUUUUCAUAAGUAAAGCUUGUCUAUCUUAUUCAAAGUUCUUUCCAUGACAUAUAUAGCAAUUGGAAAGAACACACACAAAAAAAAAAAAAAAAAAAAAAAAAAAAAAAAAAAAAAAAAAAAAAAAAAAAAAAAAAAAAAACUAAAACUCAAACCCCUUGGUGCAACUCUUCAACUCAGGUACGUGCAUGUCUGAUUCUUUUUUCAUCACUUAGCGUAGACAGAAGGAUUAGUGAGGAGGUAAUCUUCGACAGCCUUGAAAAGUUCCAUGGCUUGUUUCUUGCCUUCAUUGUGUUCUUCUUCCUUUAAAACAUAGUCACCUUUUGUGUGGUACUCAGUUUUUGUCUUGCAAACACAACCUCCAUUUCCAGCAGCUUCAAAUUUGAUAUCAUAGGUAAUUGAUUCCAAUUUGUCUCCAAGAACAUCACCUUCUAUAAGUGAAUAUUUUGUUACCAAAUUCUUGUCAUCAAUUGCAUGAAUCUUGUGCUUCAAGUACUUUAUUGGACCACCUGAUAUUAACAAAAAUAAUAUAAGUUUCGUAUAUUAUCGAUGUAACUAAUUUUUUAAGUUAAGUGAGUCAGGAUAUCUAUAGAUAUGUUAAAUGAACGAGUUGAAAUCUAUUGUAUUCUAUUAAAAACACAUCUAAAGUAUUCUAAUUUUUUGAGUUUUAUAUCUUCUUUUUUUAGUGAGUUUUAUAUCUAAACUAUCAAAUGUGUGAGUUUCUAUCACCAAAUAUUUAUCAAAAUAUACUUAAACUAUCCGUUGUUCAAUUUUUUUAUCUGAACAAUAAUGAUAUUUCAGGUAGAAAAAAUAGUUCAAAUGUGUUUCGAGAAAUAUUUGAUGAUAGUCCAUGUAUGGAACUCACAUGCAUAUCAAAACACACUUGAACUAUCAAUUUUUCACUUUUCUUAUUUGAUCAAUAGUGAUAUUUCAUGUAGAGAAAAUGAACGACUGAUAGUUCAAAUGUGUUUCGAGAAAUUUGAUGAUAGUCUAAGAUAGGAAACUCAUACACAUGAUAGUUCAAAUAUGAAACUCAAAAACUUGAUAUACUUUAAAUGUAUUUUUAACUCGUCACUCCAAUAUAAUAUAAUUAAUCGUAUACACUAACGAUAUACAAAAGAUAUUUAUACAAUCAGAUCGUUCAUUUAAACUAGCUAGGUAGUAAAAAUGAUAAAUGUAAAACUAAUUAUAUUACCUUCAACAAAGUUCAUCUUCUUGAUACUUCCAUCUCCCUCAGUCUCAACAUUCUUAACAUUUGGCAUCAAUUUAGGGAUAAGAUUGUCAGCAUCAACAACCAAAGCUUUGAACAACCUAGUAGGGGACACUGUGCUUGUGGCUUCAUGUGUAUAGGUAGUGACACCCAUAGUGUUAAUUUUCUUUCAACUUUUUUUUAGUAAUUAAAAAGAGAAUAUAUAUAAGAAGUGAAAUUAAUAUGCUAGCUAGUUUUGAGUUGUGGGAUGUAAUGUUUAAGUUUUAGAUGGUAUUUAUUUUUAUAGGGUAUAAAAUAGAGUGAGAGUUAAGAGUUUGAAGUCAUCACCAACCUUAGCUUUAAUGUUAAUUUCAAUAUUCAAAGUAGGCCAUUCUUGACCUCUAUAUUAUUUUUUCUAGAUGGUGAUGGUUAUCGCGUCGUAAGUAGUGAAAUUAGAAUUUAAAUUUUAUGCUUUAAAUUCAUUAUAUUUCGAAGUUAUGAGUUUAUACUAUCUAUUAUUUGUUGCACAUAAUUUUUAUGAAUUUAUUGUAUUUCACGUUAAAAAUAUUAGAUUCAAAUGAAUCUGUUACAUUCAUCUCUAUCACCGCUCUUAAUCGAAGUUUUUGAAUUAUGAAUUCUAAAGAUGAAAACAACUUUAUUCUUAAUCAGAUAUAUCUUAAAUUUGAUUCCUAAAUGAAGAUGAUUCUAAAAAAAAAUAUUUUUCUCUUUUAACAAACUUUACACUAUACAAAUUUUCAAAUUAAUCGAGAUUGAAAAUAAUAUCGAACAUCAGAUGAAAAAUGAAAAUAUAUAUUCCGGUUGCGUCACUUAGUUCAAAUUAAUUUGUUGGUUGUGGCGUUGGAUAACUUCAUGACAAAAUGGUCUAACAAUGAGGCCCGAUGACACAUUAAAGUAUACUCCAUAUCAAAAUUGUGUCAUAUAUAUCCAAAUGCUUUGUGUUUUUUCUUAGUAUUUAGAGUAAUAGAUAAUGAUAUUAAUUAAAAUCAAGAUAAAUUAUACAAAUAAAAUAAUUUUAAAUAAUAUUUGUUGAAUUUGGUUUUAAAUUAAACUUUGAUGGUAUGACUUUAUUACAAAAAAAUUGGGUAUUAUAAUUAUAAUAAAAAAUGAUUAUUGGACAUAAAAAAUUUGUGAAAGUGAAUAACUUUUUAUAUGAUACAAUUCAAAAGUUAAAGAAUUUUGUGUUUUUUUAUUUACAUAUUUUAUAAAUAUAAUAUUGUAUUUAGAUUUUAAUAUAAUCAAGACAAUCUACCUUGCUCAAGCGUUACUAACAAACGGACUCAGCCUGAGCUAUAAAAACUUUAUUUUUAGAUGGAUUCAAAAAAUAAAAAAUAAAAUUGUCCAACUUUAUUAAAUUACGAAUUGAUCUGGAUCGAUAUAACAAGUCAACAUAGUUGAUCAUUAAAUAUCUUUUAAAAAGUUUAAUUUGAAAAUAUAAAGUAAAAAAAAGUUACCUAACUUAUGAUAUUUUCACAUAAAAUAAGAUGAAUAAUAAUAAGUUAUUGCUUGUUGCCUUUUGGUAAUUGGGUGGGUAGGUGUGAAGGAUAAUAUAAAUUAAUUAAGGAUAUGGUUUUAAACGACUUUCCGCAUAUAGUUUCUGCAAACUGUUUUCUUUAUUUAUGUUUAGAAUAAAAAAUAAUUAUGAAUUUAAGUUAUAUAUAUAGUAAGUAUAAGAAAAUUUUAUAUUAUCAAUAUAUAUUUAUCUAUUAAUAUAAGUUAUAUGUUUUAUUUUUCAGAUUAUUUUUAAAUAUAUUUAAAUGAUCUAAUAAUAAUUUAUUAUCUUGAAAUAUUUUAUUUUGCCUUUUUUUUCGAACUCUUAUCGAUGUUUUUGUCUAAAAGUGAAAUCUUUUACAAGUGUAGAAAUAUUGACUAUAAGUAAAGCCAAUAUUGCUAAUGUGAAAGUAGGAAUUAUGUCAUGUUUGGAUGCAAAUUAUAAUAUAUAUCGUGCAACUCAUCAUAUACAUAUUCUAAUAUUAUUUAGGCGGAAUGACUUGGGAGACCCCUGUACUUGACUUCUUUUGUCAGUUGGACCCUCCUACCAUCACUUUGCCGAUCAAACCCUUAAACUCAUCAAAACACAAUAUUUUAAACUCCUCUGACCAUUGACCGAGCUUAUGUGACAUUAAUAUUGGUGAGUUGGAAAUAUGCGUGAUUACACGCGCUUAAAAACGAGUUAAAACAAUAUUUUACUUUUAAAAAAAUCAAUUUAACAAAAUUUUAAAAAAAAUCAUCUUCUUCAACCCUCCUUCACCCACACCCACCCUUUCUUCUUCUUCACCAGCCCUCUCUCCUCUACCCCUCACCACAGCCCUCACCUUUCUUCUUUCUCCGGCCCAUUCUUAUUUCUCCACCCCCACAUUCACUCUUCUCCGCCUCUUCUUCUUUUUUUUUUUUUUUAUACAAAUCAUUGUGAAGGAUGAUUGUGACUAUUGAAAAUUUUAAAACUCCAUUGAUAAGUUUGAAAAAGCUUAAAAAAUAAUAAAUGGGUCUUGUGAAUUUGUAAAAUUACUUAAAUUUUUUGAUUGGGGUUCAUUGAGUUUGUGUUGGUGAACUUGUAGUUGAAUUUACAAGUUAAAUCAAGAAGAAUUUGAUCUGAUGGGUAUGAAUCUAGUGCUCAAUUUGUGACCAAAUAUGAAGAAGAUGACUAUUUGAAAAGUUAAAGAAAUUAAAAAAUUGAUUUAUUUGAUUUUUUAAAUUUUUUUAGCACUUAAUUUCGCAUGUGGCACUAAAAAUGAUGUGGAAUUUCACGUGUAAUCGCGUCCAUUACACGAACUCUGACCAGAGGAGAAAAGGGUUUAAAAUGUUGUUUUCUAAUGAAUUUAAGGGUCUAGUUGGCAAAGUGAUGAGUAUGAGGGUUCAACUGACAAAAUGAGCCAAGUACAAGGGUCUUUCAGGUCAUUCUGCCUAUUAUUUAUACUAUUUUAAAAAUAUUUAUACUAAUUAGUAUGCUUGAGAUGUUGCACAUGUUUAAUAAAAGACAAUUAUUGGGAGAUCUCUAUUCUUAAUUAGAAAUCUCAAAUUUGAAUUGCCUUUUUGGAAAAAUAAUUUUUUUGUAGAGAGCAUCAUCUCUAGAAAAAGACCUGACAUUAUAUAAAUUUAAAUUUAAUCAGAUCCUAAUACGAAGAUCGAACAUGAAAAAAAUAAAAUCGUUCAUUCAUUAGAGACUGAAAGUUUUUUGCCUUGCGUUUACCCAACAAGUAUUGCUAAUUGAACCAUUAUUGAACUACAUAAAAUAUUUUAUUUGAAUAACUUUAAUAUUUCUUAGAUUAUGUUUAAUUUAUUAUUAUGAAAAUUAAUUAGUUUUGUCAUUUGAUUAUUUUAUAUUAUGUAUUACUAAUUUUUUUUCUCUUUUAUCAUAGUAAACAAAAAAAAAAGAAACUCUUAUCAGAUUGCUGUCUAGUCUAUUCCAUCUUUACUGACUCUUGUUGUGAUUAGGACAUCCAAAAUAUUUUCUCCAAAUUUGAGACCUAAUUUUAAUGUGGAACUUUGACAACGUCAAAGUAUGCAACGCCAUUAAUUUUGAUAUCUCAACAGAAUAUACCGAGUUCAAAUUCUAAAUUCACCUCUCUCCAUCUUCUAUAGGCUCGUUGAGAUAUCAGGAGAGAAAUAACUACAUACUCGGAUCCAUCAUCCAUGCUUAUUAGUUAUUAUGAUGAUAUCCUAAGAAGUAAGGAACUAUACUAUAGAUGGUCGAAAUUAGUUGUUUAUCACUCCUUUUGAUUCAAUUUAUGUGAUAUAGUUUGACUUGACACAAAAUUUAAGAGAACAUAAAAGACUUUUGAAACUUGUGAUCUAAAAUACGUUAUAAAUAUUUGUUGAAUAUACAAAUUUAGUGUUCCAAAAUCUCAAUAAUAAUGUUAGUUAGUAAAAUACACCUCUAAUUAAAUAUUUCGAGAUAUGUAAACGUCAACAAGGAUCAAGUAUUGUAAAACGGAGAAAAUAGGAUGAAUACUCACACAAAUAUAGACAUAUACUUUUUUUGUUGAAAAACCCCUAAAUUUGCCGUGAACUAUUAGUUUUGUUCCCAAACUAUUUUGACUGCCCGAAAAACACCUCUACUCAACUAACUGAACUUAGAGACGUUCAUAAUCUUGUCACAUGAGUAAAAUACACCCUUAAAUUCUCGUUAAGUUUAGUGGUGUUUUUAUUAAGAGUUUCAGAUUCCUAUACAAUUUUGAGACCACUUGCUAUGUCAUGUGAAAGAUCGGAAUAUAUUUAAAUUGAAUUAAUCAAAUAAAAAAGUGGUUUUAAAAUUGUCAAUAAUUUGAGAAUGAAACUAAUAAUUCAAUUCAAGUUUUGAAAAUUGUUGACGUCUUAAAAUUUUCACAAAUUGUGCCUUGGGCUUCAUAUAAUAUAAUUGAAAAGGAUAUAUCAAGGCUUGGUACAAGCAAAAAGAAAGCAAAGCUUUCAAUAUUAUUUAUUGGAAGUUCUUUCCAUGUCAUACAAUUGGAAAGAACAAAACACACAACAAAAAACUAUAACAAUGUAAAAACUCAAGCCCAUGGAACUUUUGAUCAAACUUUUUCGUCUCAGCUAAAAGUUUAAACUUUUUAGAAAUAACACACGUAUAUAUAAUUAUAUUUAAUUAUAUAAUAUCGCAACACGUCCUGAUCAUCUCUCACGUGUGGAUCUGAUUCAUAUUUCAUCACUUAAGCGUAGACAGAAGGAUUAGCAAGGAGGUACGCUUCGAUGGCCUUGAAUAGGUCAAUGGCUUUCCCUUUGCCUACAUUGUGUUCUUCUUCACUAACAACAUAAUCACCUUUUGUGUGAUACGUAGUUGUUGUCUUGCAAACACAACCUCCAUCUCCAGCAGCUUCAAAUUUGACAUCAUAGGCAAUUGAUUCCAAUUUGUCUCCAAGAACAUCACCUUCAAUAAGUGAAUAUUUUGUUUCUAAGUUCUUGUCAUCAAUCGCAUGAAUCUUGUGCUUCAAGUACUUAAUUGGACCACCUGUCAUUAAAAAAUAAAUAAAUUAAGUUUCAUAUAUAUCAUGAAUGUUAGUAAUAAUUUUUUACACUAUGAGGUUAUUCAAACAACAGGGUCAAAAUAGAUUGAGUUAAUAAAUAAACGAGUUAUUGAUCAGUUCAAAAGUUACUUAAGCUAAAAUAGACUAUCAUACGAGUCAUAUAACACAACAUGUCCAAUUAUUACUAGUUUUAGUUGCUUUGUUUGUUUUUUUUAUAUAAAUUUUUAUAGUACCUUGUAAAACUAUGUUAUGUUUUUCUUUAUUUUAACUGUGUAACAUAUCAAAUAAAAAAUUAUUCUAACAAAAGAGUUCUCAUGAGUUAAUUUAGACCGUAUAUUAGUUUAAUUUCUUACCGACUAAGCUAAUAGACGAGUAGGUCAAUAACUUUCCCAAACUCGGGUGGAUUAGACAUGUUAGGUUGAUGAACUAACUAUGUCACCUCUCUCUAUAGGUAUGUCUUUUAAUAAUAUGAGAUUUUGACAAAUUUCAGGUUCAUUAUGAAUAUCGAACAUCAAAUCGAAAAAAAUUAUGAUUUAACCAAGAUCAUAAAUUUAAAACAAACCUUCAACAAAGUUCAUUUGCUUGAUGCUUCCAGCACCACCAUCUCCCUCAACAACCUCAAUGCUCUUAACAUCAUGUGACAACAAUUUAGGUACAAGGCUGUCAAAAUCAAGAACCAAACCUUUGAAUAGCCUUGUUGGGGCAAUUGUGGUUGUGGACUCAUGAGUAAAAGUAUUCACACCCAUAAUGUUUGAUUAAAUAUUUGCCUUUUGAAAAAAAAAUGAAAGAGAAAGGAUAAGAUGAAUAUAAUGCUUUGAAGUGUGUGUGAUAUAAUGAAAGUUUUAGAUGGUAUUUAUAGGACAAAAAUGGAGUGAGAUUUGGUUGAUUAUUAUUUUAGUUUUGUCCCUACCUUGAAAAGUCAUAUAAAUAUAAAUCUUUGGACAAGUGGUUUACAAUUACUCGUAUUCAGUAUAAGUAAAAACUGUUCAAAUCUUUUGGAUUUAUCCUAUUACUCAUAAUCCAAAAAGACGAAUAUAUCAAACAAAAAAAAUAAAUUAUUUUUUAAUGAUUAUAAAAUUUUAAAUUAAGAUGAAUCGUUAAAUCUUAAUCUAAAAGGUGUAUAAGUAGUUGGAAAAAUUUGGUGAAAUUUUAGAAUUCUAUGUCAUGAGCAACCUUAGCUUUAGUAUUAAUUUCAACAUUCAAAGCAGUGCAAUGUUGACAAUUGUGUCCAUUUUUUAUUUUAUUUUUUCUACAUGUUGUGUCACUAUCUUUGAUAAUUAAUUUUGUUAGUUGUGGCAUUGUGAGAAUUUUAUGCCAUUAUGGUCGAUAAAAAUAAGGCUUGCUGACACGAUAUUAAGUUGAUUGGACCGUAGGAACCUACCAACGUGGUAGUGCUUUUCCAGUGUCCUUCUUAUUAGAAUUCGAUUAAAUACAAAUUCGUACAGAAAAGUCUUACAUUAGGAUAAAAGGUAUUCUAACAUAGGUGAUUUUGUAUUCUGAGUAACUCAAAUCCAUAACUGUUGAUUAAAGAUGAAGGAGUACUUACCAAUCUACAACAACCCUUAUUGAUAGUUCUAUUAAGUCUGAAAGUACAAAAGAACGUUCAUUUCCUGAUAUUAUUAUCAAUCAAUACUAAUUGCUUGAAUUCAAAAUUAUCUAAUUUCACGAGUUUGAGCUUUAUAAUAUCAUGAUAGGUGUUUUUAUUUAUAUAAAUAUAUAUAUUUAUAUUCAAUAUUGUUUAUAGUUAUAUCAUAAUAAUUUAUUUGAUUAAACUUUAAAUCGAUCAUGCUUGCUUUGGAAAAAACCAUUUCGAGAAAAGUAAUUUUCUACAAAGUUUAAAUAUAACCCAAAUUUAAUAAUUAACUUUAUAUGCUAAAAUUUAAUACUUUCCGUCCAAUUUUGGUUAUCAUGAUUUUCUUUUCUAGAGUGAAAUGAUAAGAAUUUUGACUAAUAUUUUAUGAUGUAUUUUUUUCAUUAUAUUGAUAUGUAAAAAAUUGCAAUUUAUAGUACUUUUUGAAUAGUUUUUGAAUAUCUAAAUUUUUUGUUUAAAAUAUCAAAUUAAUGUUAUCUAAUUUAACUUUAAAAAUUAGUUAAAUUGAUUUUUGAAAAACGCAGCACGACAAAUAAAAGUGGAUAGAGGGAGUAUUAUAUUAUGUAUAAAUAAUAUUAUAUUUGAUAUAGUUGGUUAGGAAUAAUUUUUAUAAUAUGAUGUAUAGUUUUGCAAUUUAAAAAUUCGAACAUCUUGAUAUAUGUGUAAAUUACGGGGAAAUUUAUAUAUUUAAUAUUAUUUUAUGAAAAAUAGGGGACAAAAUAAAUAAUAGAAUAAUACAAUAAUAUAUAUACCUAGUUGCAGCAAGAUUUAGAAAAACGUUGUAUAUUUCUAUCUCAUCAAAUAUAAAAUAACAUGAACAUGCUAUAUUACCUUUAUCUUAUUCUAAAUUUCUAAUAACACUAUAUGCAAUCAAACAUGACCUUUAGUCAUCGAUAUAAAUUAGAAUGAAUUGAAAUGGUUAUAAUUGCACCAUCUUAAUAUUAAAUCUCGAGAUUUAAGCUAUAGAUUUUUUUAAAAAAAAUUAUUAAAAUUAAUGCCCUCAAAAUAAGCCUGCAAAUAGAAAUUUGAAUUAAUCAAAUUUCAAUUCACGUAGAAAAUAUGACCUUUGUUAGUUCUUUUUAAAUCGAUAGUAGAAAGGUUGAGUGCAUACAAAAUCGCCACUUUCACAUUACCAAUUGGUUUUUACUUAGUCAAGAUUUCAUCAACUCCAAAGAUUUUAGUAUAAGACAAUGUUUGGCUUAGUCAAUAAGAUGUAGACAUUUAAAAGAUUUUUCUGAGAGGGGACAAAGAUAUAUAGUAUAUAGUACUAUAUACUAUAUAGUUUAUAUUAUCUUUAGAAAAAUCUUUUAAAUGUCUACAUCUUAUUGACUAAGCCAAACAUUGUCUUAUACUAAAAUCUUUGGAGUUGAUGAAAUCUUGACUAAGUAAAAACCAAUUGGUAAUGUGAAAGUGGCGAUUUUGUAUGCACUCAACCUUUCUACUAUCGAUUUAAAAAGAACUAACAAAGGUCAUAUUUUCUACGUGAAUUGAAAUUUGAUUAAUUCAAAUUUCUAUUUGCAGGCUUAUUUUGAGGGCAUUAAUUUUAAUAAUUUUUUUUAAAAAAAUCUAUAGCUUAAAUCUCGAGAUUUAAUAUUAAGAUGGUGCAAUUAUAACCAUUUCAAUUCAUUCUAAUUUAUAUCGAUGACUAAAGGUCAUGUUUGAUUGCAUAUAGUGUUAUUAGAAAUUUAGAAUAAGAUAAAGGUAAUAUAGCAUGUUCAUGUUAUUUUAUAUUUGAUGAGAUAGAAAUAUACAACGUUUUUCUAAAUCUUGCUGCAACUAGGUAUAUAUAUUAUUGUAUUAUUCUAUUAUUUAUUUUGUCCCCUAUUUUUCAUAAAAUAAUAUUAAAUAUAUAAAUUUCCCCGUAAUUUACACAUAUAUCAAGAUGUUCGAAUUUUUAAAUUGCAAAACUAUACAUCAUAUUAUAAAAAUUAUUCCUAACCAACUAUAUCAAAUAUAAUAUUAUUUAUACAUAAUAUAAUACUCCCUCUAUCCACUUUUAUUUGUCGUGCUGCGUUUUUCAAAAAUCAAUUUAACUAAUUUUUAAAGUUAAAUUAGAUAACAUUAAUUUGAUAUUUUAAACAAAAAAUUUAGAUAUUCAAAAACUAUUCAAAAAGUACUAUAAAUUGCAUUUUUUUGCAUAUCAAUAUAAUGAAAAAAAUACAUUAUAAAAUGUUAGGCAAAGUUUUUAUAGUUUGACUAAAAAAAAAACUAUGACAAUUAAAAAUAGACGGGGUUAAUAUAUGUAUAACUCACCUCAAAUGAACUAUACAUACCUCUAUUAAUUUUUAUGCCUUGAAAAUUGAGGUGGAUCGAAAUUCCACAUCUCGACAAAAAAGUUUUUCUUUCAAAUCAAAGUGGGAAAUCAAUUAUUUUUAGUAUUUCCUCACUUAAUUGUGACUCUGAUAAUAUAAGGAAAAAUCAUUUUGGCCAGAAAAUUUAGCUAGAAUUGGCCAGAAUAAUAUUUUAUCUUUUUAAAUAUUUUUAUCCUUUUAACUUUUAAAAAAUUAAAAAAAGAUCAGUUUAUUUUAAAAUAAAAAAGAUAUCAGAAACUUUUUAAAUUUUUGUUCUGACCAAAUUUUCUGGCAAUUUAACAUUACCCAUAAUAUAAUACUGUUUGGCGAAACUUUUAAGAAUCUAAUUGUUUUGAAAAGUAUUUUUUAUUACAAUUUUUUAUGAAAGUUUUGAACUUUUGAGGAAUGGUAGUUUCUACUUGAUCGAUCAAUUUGAAAAGCAGUUCUUUAUUAAUUAAAACGGUAAUUUAUGUUUGGUCAAGAUUUUAAAAUGAGUUUAAGUUUUGUGCAUCGUCGGUGUAAAAAAAUUUCUACACCAUCAUUAGUUCCUUUUAAUGAGAUUUAACCAUAGUAACUUAUUUUAAUAAAAUAACCAUAAUUCAUGAAAAAGGAAAAUCAACAAUUUACUUUAAAAAAAGAACAUCAACAGGUAGUUGAAUCAUACUUGGAUUCUAACCAAAAUUAUUUCCAUAAUUAAUUAUUCUUUUUUCAAAGUUAAUUACAAUUACUAUGUUUAUCGUAGGUUUUUCACUUUUUUCUAUAGCUCUUGUAAUUCUUCACAGCAUCAAACUUUUUCACAACAUCAAACAUUGUCAACCGACAACCGAUAAGAAAUAAUUUUUAAAGUGUCAAACAAUUUUGAAACUUGACACGCUUCUUCUACUUAGUGAUAUAUCGUCAUGCAAUUAGAAAAAAUUUCACAUUUUUCUCAUUUAGAAACAUAAAAAAGGCCCUUUUAAACAUAUCUUCACGAGCAAAAGAAUUUCAAUGCACUAAAAACAAGCGAACAUAGUCUCCUGAAAGGUGAAUAUUGUAUCUUAAAGUGUUUUCAUAUUGUCCCCAAUACUUGAGCUCUGUUCUUUAGAUUAUUGGGAAGGAGUUUAUUUAUUGAACUUUCACUAAUAUUAAAUAUAUUUUACAGUAAACGUGUUGACUAUUUAUAUGAUCAGAUUUAUAAUUAAUUGUAAGCUAUCUAACAUUUAUAAUUGUAAUUUGCAAGAUUAAUGGAAAAGUUAAACGUAGAUGAGCAAAAUAUAAGAGUUGAAGUUCCCUGAGAAGAAAGUGACGUACUUUGGAAGAAAAUAAUUUAGUUAUGAAAAUAAUUUUGGUUAGAAUCCAAGUCUGAUUCAACUACCUUGUUGAUGUUUUUUUUAGUAAAUGUUAUUUUAUUAAUACUAUGGUUAAAUCUCAUUAAAAGUAACUGAUGGUGUAAAAAAUUUUGUACACUGACGAUGCACAAAACUUAAACUCUUUUAAAAUUACUCUUUCAAUUUUUUUUCGUAUCUAUUUUUAUUCACGUACGUGUUUCUUAGUGAAUUAUGUAUAAUAAUGCAUAUAGUUUUUGUCACUAUUUUUUACAUGGUCCUUCUACAUUGCUAUUUGCUCCAUCUAAGUAUGCUUGUACGUGUAGUGCAAAUAACAACAACAGAACUCACCAAUCUAUCAACGAGGGUUGUGGUGGAGUGAUAACUGAUAAAUACUCAUUCAUCCUUAAUCAGAAGUCUCGGGUUCGAGUCCCCCAGAGUAAAAUAUUCUUUAUUGAAAGUUCUUUCCAUGACAUACACUUGGAAAACACACAACACACAACAAAAAACUAUAACAAUGUAACACUCAUCAAGCCCUUGGAAGAAUUGAAACAACUCCAUAUAUCAAUCAUUCAACUUUUACGUCUCUCAUCUAAGAGUUUAAACUUCUUAGAAAUAACACACACAUUUUAAAUUAUUUAAUAUCACAACACGUACGUGAUCUCUCACGUGUAGACCUGAUUCUUUUUCAUCAAUAUUUA